rnacentral:lncRNA from 1 species
CAACCAAACGAGGCCUAAGAGUCUCUCUCCUUCAACAAUCGAAAAUAGUAGUAGAAGUUCUAUGCACAGAACCCCUUCAUCUCAGCGUCUUUGCCUGUCCAAGAGGUAUUUCUCGUUCGAGCAUACCCUGUAUCUCGCAAUGUAUGUCCAAGACCACAGAACAUUCACCACUUCACAAUGCAACAGCCCGUGAUUUUUGGUCUCCUUACCUUUAGGUUACAGAGAACAAUUAGGAGAAAUCUUCUUCCUUCGUUUGUCAACCUCAGUUUUCAAAAUAUGAUUUCAUAGUAAUUAUUGGAAAAAAAGAGAGGCCGUCCAUGUUUGAUCAUUCCCUCUCAUGACAUCACUCUGAAUCUUUUCCAAAAGUCUAUAAUAUAAUAUAUUGAUCGAUUCAAUAGCAUCGCCCGUUUCAAACGUUGACGGUUUCUCCAAAUGAAACAUCCCUUCCAUUUUUUUGCCAACGACGAUAUUUAACAGCUUAGGAAACUCCUCUUCGAAUCCAUACCACACCAGACAUUGUUUCAAAAUUCACCCAGCUACCAUCCUUCAUCUAAAACUACAGAAAUUUACCAUAUUUCUUAACCGUCUUGUCCCGGGAGAUGGGGAAUAAGUUUUAAUAACUCAGGUUUAUUACAGUGCUUAUCACAUUGAAAACUUCCUACUCUUAUCACCUUGCAUGUUGCAGAAUGUAACGGAUACUCCAAAGCAUUAUAAAUUAACUUUCCAGAAAAUGAAAUUUACAGCAAAAAAAGUCCCAAACCAAAUUUCCCCACUGUUUUCUUCAUUAUAUAAUUCAUUCAAAUUCCUCCAUCCAGUUGAAACUCCAAGCUCAUAGCCAAGUAUUUGAGGAUAAUACUGGUCAAUCUCUGUAAUCUUUAAAAUUGAACAACCCCUUUAUGGGAUAAAGUUCAGCAUUUUCAAUGACUUUCCUCAAUGCAGCAGGGCCCAUAGACAUAAGGACCUACAUUUAGAAUAUAUGGCAUAGUCAAAACAACAAUAUCAAUAAACGGUAGGGGUAAUGAAGACAACAUUAACCAGCUAGAAGAAUGUUUCUACGCAUGAAUGCAAGGUCAUAAUGAAUGGUAUUAGGAUCUAAAAACACUAAAUUCAAUACAAAAAUUUGCUCAUACAUGUCUGAAGUAUGUUGAUUAAUAUGAGAGAAUGGUUCUCAUACUCUAAUGUGUUCUAACUGUUGAAGCAUUCAAAUUUUACUUUCAAACAUGUUGGAAAUAUGAAUUGAGUCUAUAAGGACUCAAAAACUACAUCACAAAACUGCGACAAAGUAAAUGGUUCCAGAGCUUCAAAGAUUCGAAGAGACGCUUCAUACAUCAUUUUCCACCACAGUACAUCAUUUUCCACCACAGUAUCACCAACGAAAGGUAAUGUCAAUACAGAGUCUAGCGUUAAAUGUGAUUUCUAAUUUCAACAACGCAGCAAUUUAGCAGAACAUAUGAUCUUAAACCCGUUGAAAUGAAACGUGUUAAAUAUCAAAUUUUAAACAUGCUUUGCACGGUUGCAACAGAAAACAGCAGGCACAAUGGAGGCACUAGCAUAUCAGUACAUUAGAAGCAAAGAUUUCAAAAACAAUUGAAUUUAUGGUUUAUAAGUUGCAUGUAACAGAUCCUGUAAAGAAGUUAAUGAAAAAUGAGUCGAAAAUUUGGAUAUUAAACCUCGUUUGCAUCUUUAAAAGAUUCAGCAUUAUUCUUCUUUGGCCAUUUGACUCGCCAACACCUAUUAACAAAAAAAAAAAAAAAAUCUUAGAUUUUGUUGAAUCAUUGUUGAUAUACUUGUACUAAUUGCAUGAUAAACCUUUCUUUCCCUAAGCGGCGGGCAAGUUCUUCAGCCAAAGCUUGACCAGGUGGGUCCCCAUCUGUGGCAAGUAUUAUGCGAGAUACCUAUCAAAAGAAACAAAAGAAAAGGCCGAAAAGCUUUUGCAUCCCAACAAUUUCUUUUUACAAAUCAUUGAUAUAAUAAAACAAACUGUAAUCCGAACAAACCUUUUCAAUGUACUCUUUGCAGUUCCAUAAAUAUUGAUACUUUGUGUCCUAGCUUCAAAGACUGCGUAAUAAGAGCAUUAGAAUCAACACUUCAACGAAAGUUUCAUCAUAAAAUCUAUGAUGUCAAAGACACAGUAGAGGACUGCCUAGAACCAGCACACAUUUGAAAGCCCUCGUAACAUUAGAGGACAAACUAUCCUAAAGUAAAGAGUAAUUUUUUUUUUUUAAAGAUCUAGGAAUAAAUCGGACAAUUAUGUCAGUCGGAAGAAGUAUUAUACAGAAUAUAUAUAAUACUAUUACAAUUGGUAGGUCAACGUGUCAUUCAAAUAAGUCGUGUUAUCCGUGGUUUUCCCAUGUUGCAACUUUCGUAGCAAUUAGGUCGAUCCGUAAAGUAAUUAUUUGAUAUGGAGAGAGAAGAUCAUUGACUCAGCUAACGUUUGAAACAAAUAACAAAGAUAAUAUUGUGGGAAAUGAUGAAAAAAUAACAAUAAUGAUUCUCCCAGGAUGAAAGUCAAAAGGGUCGAGGAAGGUUUGCAUAUAACUCAAUCAAGGUUGAAAAUGCAGAGCACACAAAUAUUGAGGUUAACUGUAGAUAUCUGGGGAAAUAAUAAAAGACAUCAUAAGUGGUUGGUUAAAGAUUUGCAGCAAGACAGAUACCUCUUCAGCAGAAGGCAGCUCUUUCUUUGAGACUUUUGGAGGUGCACCGUCUGGAACACUCGCACAGUUUUUAAAACCAGCUUCUUCCAUUGCAAGCUUAUCAAUUUCACCUUCAACCUUUAUUUAAGAAUAUAAGAAUAAAUAGCACGAAAAGUCAAAUGCAUUGACCAUAGACAACAGAACAAUGAAGAAAUUUAACUUACAAUGAUAAUAUCACUAGCUCCCUUUAUAUCAUCCAGUCCAUAAAAAAUCUUCUGAGUAUUCAUUUCCUGCCCAUCAGUGUUACCAGCUAAAUACUAUGAGACUCAUGACGGUAAAACAUCAGAACUACUUCUAUACUUAAAAAAGGCACAUCAGAAAACCAUAACAGUCCAAUUAGUAGCCUGAGCCAUAUUAUGAAUGGUUGGUGCAGUAAGAGAGAUAUAAUCACAUAGAGCAUCUUACAUGAGUGUUUCUUCUUGGAAAUAUAAACCUUUUCAGGCAUGAAGAAUAACUAACAAUUCAUAUAAACAUACCUGCGGAAAUUUAAAUCUUUCAGGAAUGAAGAAUAACUAACAAUACAUAUAAACAUACCCGCCAAAAUUUCUUAGUAAUAAUCCUAUACUUGCAGUUCACAAGUUCUCCAUUCCUUCGAUAGGUGAAAGCAAUAGCAAUCUGUAUCGAAAUCUUCAUCAGACAUUACUCCAGCAAAAUUAGGAAUUAAAUCAAAGUCAAGUUACUAGAAUAUAACAGUUUAGAAGAGUCUAAACAAUGUUUCUGACAUCCCUCUUCGUCUCUCUAAAGUCUGUUCCCCUGCCCCUCCUCUUCUUUCAGGAGAAGGGCAAAGGGCCCAAGGUCCAGGAGGGAUGUGAAUACAAUGGAAAUGUAAGUACUUCAAUGGCUAGAAAUAAUUCUUUAGCAUGUCAAGACAACCUCGUGAUUGCACACAAAUAUACAUGAACAUUUCUGAAAAUAAAACAACAUCUGCACCUGGGUGCCUCUUCAUUUUUGCAUUACAGAGUUUCUCCGCAGUGUUUCCCCAGAUAUCAUUCGCUCAGCAAAAUAUGCAAGUAGCUGAAACAACAGUCAAAAGGCAUCAACGAGGUUGAAUAUCUUGGUCAGAUAUAGAUAAACCACAAAGAGAACUGGUAUAGGAUCAUAGACAACAAACAUACGGUCUACUUUGAUCUUAACAUCGAUAAGAGGCACAAAAUUUUACAGUGCCAAACAUGCAGCAAGAACAAUAUUAGCAAAUAGAUUCUACUUGCCAGUGAUUCGUAUGUGAGAGAAUGUCCAAACAUGGACGACAAAUAAUAAUAACUACCUUACUGCACACAGGUUCCAGUUCCAAACUCUCCUCUGUGAUUUCUAUGAAUGCUUGUUUUACUUUGCCGAUUCUAUUCAUUUUUGCAUAAGUUGAUUUUACAUCAGCAAAGGCCUACAAGCAAAAUAACCAGUAGACCACAUGAGUUGUGCACCAUCAAUACUCAGUAGUCAGUUAAGCAACUUCAUUUAAAGCAUACCCUUGUAGUGCCUCUCCACCCACAUUUAGCCCGAAAGCAGUUCCACAUUGCUGCAGCACUAUGAUAUAUAGGUGUAUAGUACUAUACUUCUGUUAAAAGAAAGGAAAACACAGAACACAAAGUAUAACAGAAACUUACCUAUCUUCUGUGAUGUGAAGAGAUAAGCUUUUCUCUUCUGAAUCUCCACCUUUGCACUACAAUGCCAACAAUGAGGGGACUCAAGACAAUGAGACAGACAACUAAAUGAGAACAAUCUGGUAUGUGGUAGAUACAAAUGCAGUCCCGUUGACAAAAACAUAUGAAAUUAACUAAUUUAUGUCUGUUGGCAUGUUUGACAUAGAUAUAUAGUACUUGUCUCUUCAUAUACAGUAGUAGUGAAAAUGUUAAAUUACUAAAUCGCAAGAGCUUUUUAUAGCUGAAUGAACUGAAACAUGACAAGUCUCUCGGAAAAAUAAUAUUCAAAAGCUUGUACAUUCGGACACACUAAACCACAGUAUUGCCCUGGCUUACAAGCAUCGCCAUCAAUCCCGAUAUCUAUUGCCCUGGCUUACAAGCAUCGCCAUCAAUCCCGAUAUCCUCCAACUUCUGUUUUAACAUCCUCAGCUGCUCCGGAUCUAGCACUUGCUGCUCUGGGGUCUCCAAAACAACUACAGAAACUCGACAAAAUUAAUAAAAUCAUUCUUCAAAAUCCAUUAAAAACGGAACAAACAAAACUAGCAACGUACAAUAAUCUUCAAAUAUGGUACCACUUCUUGAUGCUGUUGCAGUGGAUUUAUGAUAUCACGUUUUUGUUUAACUUUCUAAAAAAUUCAAAAUUUUUUUUAAUUUUUUUUCAAACAACACAAAGAAUUCAGCUUUACCCCUCUUUUAAUCCAACUAAUGCAUAUAUGAAAUGUAAACAUAUUAUACCCCCAUACUUAAGUACCAAAUUAUAUGAACAAACUUAAAUACCAAAUGAAUUUCGAAAAGAAAGUUUCUUAACAAUAACGCUCUAAAAAUGUGCUCUCUGCUUAACUAGUUGUACCUUCAUCUGACAUAGUCGAUUUUCAAAGAUAUUUAACACUGCAAAUAUAUUAGAAGUGAACAAAACAUCAAAAUAGAAAAGAAAAGAAAUAGAAUAAAAAAACCUGGUCUGGGUUUAGGCAUAAGAGCAUGGGGGUAAUAACUCAACCCAGAGGUCAUCCGAUGAAUUGGAGAUAUGGGUCUCGGAGAAGAAGUAGAAAAUGCUAUAUUUUUCCUAUGAGUAGAAAAGAACUGAGGUUGCGAAGAUGAAGAAAAAUGGGCCACAUAUGUAUGUGUAUGCGUCCCGGGCGUGAGUGUAGACUUAAGAAGAAGCAUGUGUUUGGAGCCCAUGAAAAUUACUCUGUUGCAGUUGGAAUUGGUGCUCAAAAAUAGUCUGCUCUGAGGUAAAAGAAGCAUAUUUUGAGCCGCAAGGGUUUCUUGUUAUUGACAGAAAGACGAAGAAGUAGAUGCUUGCAAUUCCAUGGAUAAGAAAGAAAAGGCAGCGAAAAAGGCUUAAGAAGUGUUUACUUCGAUUUUACACUCUUGUGGGCGACUGGUUUUCUCUGUUCUUUUUGCAUUCUUGACUCUCCUACAAUAAGCGUGUUUCCUCAGUAUUUAACACCAUGUUUGACAGAAUUUUCUUAUUUUCUGAAUAUUUCAUUAUUUUGGAUCAGAUGCUUCUUUCUUAGUUAUAAAUAAAAUGCUAAUAUGAUCAGGUUUUCUAUCAAAUCAAGUACCAUAUAUGUAGAACUUUUAUUAAAAAAUUAAAUAUUUAUUUUAAAAUAUAUCAUUCUAAUAUGAUCAGUUUUACUUUCAAAUCAAGUACUGUAUGUUGAACUUUUUUUCAAAAAAUUGAUUAUUUAUUUUAAAAUAUAUAUUAUACUUAUAAUUAAUUAUUUUAAUUUCCACCAAACUAUAAUAUCCGCUUCUUUGGUUUAGGUAUGAUAACUCCUAUGGGCGAAUCCAGACAGUUCGAACUGUGGAGUCAAAAAUGAAAUUUUUUUCGAACAACGUAUCAUUAGCUAAAAUAAGACCAUAUGCUACUACAAUAAGAUUUGGGUUUGGGCAUUGGGCUAGGGAAAUUAAUUGGAUUGGCACACUACUUUGACAGAAAAUUACGUUUUAAGCAAGGGGGAAAAAAAAGGAAAAUCCAAAAAAUUGUGAGGUCAUUUGACCCCACAUGACCCCAUGUGGGUCUGCCAGUGAUAACCCCGAUGGAGACUUCAAGAAAUUGCAUAUGCUAAUAAAAUUUGAAAAUUAGGUUUGUAGUUAUCAAAUUUGAUCUCGACAUUUAUUUGGCCAAGCCUUCAAGUUAUCAAUUCAUUUGUCAAAUCGUUGGAUUGUUUGUUGGACCGACGUGUUUAAAAUCUAGUAGUAGUCCAAUUUUUAAACUUCGACAAAUGAACAAAAAAUAGUUAAAUUUUUUGUUUAUUAUAAUGUUCAUUUUUGUUCGAUAUUACAGAACGAUCUAGAAAAUUACAAUAGCUCAUUUUUUCAAAACUCAUUUUCAACCAAAAUUUUUUUAAUAAAAUAAUAUUACACGCAAACUCAAAAACGUCCUUAAUUUUUAAUCACACAUUCUCUAUAAAUCUACUAUUCAAAAUACAUUCUUUCCCUCAAAAUAGGGUCAAACAAGGGUUAAAUGAACAAUAUGUGGCUAAUUAAGUACAUUCAUCUGAAGAAACUCCCAACGACAGAUAAAAAAUAGCAUUCCUAAAGUCUUACGUGUUAUUUGUACUUUUAAUUCUCUAUCUUGGAUAUAAUUCAGAAAUUGAUGCUUCAUUUACAGAGAAGGAUAUCCAAGCCGACGUGGGUUUGUAAGAAUCUUGCACUUUGGGCAAGCAUUGUGUUCUACUACGAAGAAAAAAUGCAGGUUGACGAGGAAGAGUAAGAGUAGCUGAAUGAUUAUUGAGUGUCAAAAGUAUUGAAGCCAUGUUUGGUCUUUCAUUAGCAUCUUCUUGAACACACAGUAAGCCAAUUUGAAUGCAUCGAAUUACUUCAUUCCUAACAUAUGUGUUUUGUAAUUUUAUAUCCAUCAAUUCCAAGGGUCUACUGUCUCUCCAAAGCUUCCAAGCCUGCACAUCAAAAGUCGUUGAACUUUUUAAACUCUAAUCCUAGUUACCAUAUUAAUAAAAACCAAAAAAAUAAAUAAAUAAAAUAAAAUAAAAUGCAAAACUACUCCUGAAGCUCUAUGAUUGUUAAGAAAUAUGGCGUCCAGAAAUAAUUUGGAGUUUGCACUUACAUAGCUUAUGAGAUCCUCAGCGCCAUCUGAUUGGUAGAAGCUGCUAUUCUUUCUGCCGCUUAUGAUUUCCAAAAUAAGGAUGCCAAAGCUAAAAACAUCAGAUUUUACAGAGAAGUUUCCAUACAUUGCAUACUCUGGAGACAUGUAACCACUACAAGCCAAAAAAAGAAAAAUAUAUCUUGAGCUAAUAAACUUAAGAAGGUAUUAGUAUUUGAUUCUAAUAAAAUCCACUUAUUACUUAAUUUGGCAGAUUGAUCAAAUAUAGAAUAGAUAUAGUGUAGAACUUACUAUGUCCCUACAAUCCUACUUGUAUUUCCUUGAGACUGAUCAACGUCGAAAAUUCUUGCCAUGCCAAAAUCUGAUAUUUUGGGAUUCAUAUUUCCAUCUAAUAAUAUAUUGCUAGCUUUGAGAUCACGGUGUAUAAUUCGUACAGGAGAAUCUUCAUGAAGGUAAACCAAUCCGCGUGCUAUUCCUCGUAUGAUCUUGUAACGUUUUGACCAAUCCAACAUUUGUCGCUUUUCUGCAUCUUUACAUCCAUUUAACAUAGUUUUCAAAGGCAGGUCUCAGAAAUGAAAACUAAAAGGCCUUAACUAGAUAAUUUAUAUUAUGUAUAGGGCUAAGAAAAAAAUCCAUCAACCCCAACACUUGUGGGGCUCCAUCCUGAGCAAGACGGGGAUUACUCGUUAAAUUGGAUAUUUGGGUAAGGGACGGANAGCCACAUUAUUCCAAAAAAAUGUAUUCUUAAACAGUGAUUUGAUAUCAUUUCAACUACACAUUUUUCAAUAAAAUAAUAUUACAAGCAAAUAAAAAAAUUUUCCUAACCACACAUUUCUCAUCAAUACACUAUUCAAGAAUGCAUUAUUACCAAAAUAAUGUGGCUCAAACACCAUAUAUAUAUAUAUAUACUCACACACACACUUUUUUUUAGAGAAUUCAAUACUUUUAGUGGAAAAUUUCACGAAAUUACAUUUGUUUUAAUAGAAAAUGGCAAUUAAGAUUAUCCAAGGAACAUAACAAACAAUAAAAGCUUUAGUAAACUAAAUAUAUUUGACUAAUUUAACUUUUAAAAGUAAAUAAAAAAAUUUAAAAAUUAAUAAUUAUAUUAUUGUCUCACUUUAAUGAAUGAGGUUAAUAAAAUAAAUUAUUAAAAAAAUGUAAAUGAGUAGUAAACGGGACAAAGACCUCGUCCAGCUUUAAAUGGGUAACGGCAUGGGAGGUGGGGGAGGUUGCCCCGCCCUGUCCCCUCCCAUCGUCAUCCCUAUAUAUAUAUAUAUAUUGGCUAAAUUACUUUUUGUCGAUAGCCAAUGUAUAUGAAUUUCAAUAUAAAGAUGAGAGGAAGUAAUAUCAAGAUUGAUGCUAACCGAAUAGAAAAUAAUCGAGGCUUUUAUUGGGCACAUAUUCAUAAACAAGUAUCUUCUCUUCUCCUUCCAAGCAAAAUCCUAGGAGUCUUACUAGAUUUCUAUGUCGAAGCUUGGCAAUAAGUACAACCUCAUUCUUAAAUUCUUUUGCACCUUGUCCUGAACUUUUGGAAAGUCUCUUUACAGCUAUUUCUCGUCCAUUUAGGAAGGUACCCUACAAGCACGUUAAACAUAGUAUUAUACCCCACAGAUUGUCAAAUACUGUAUAGCUCGGCUUACCAAAGAAAUCAAACCUGUGAAAGUGAUUGUUAAAACAUUGUAAAUAUAAAGGGAUAAACCUUGUACUUAGAAUUAUACUCCUUCAAGUACCUUGUAGACACUACCAAAUCCACCUUCACCAAUUUUGUUGUCAGCAGAAAAGUUGUUGGUAGCAAGCGCAAUAGUAUUCAAGUCAAAUUGCAAGGAUUCAACUGACGAAAUCUCAUUUCCUUCGUUACAUACAAAAAUAGCAAAUCAUUACAUAAAUUUCUUUAAUCUAGGAGUGAGGGAACAGGCGAGAAACUAAGAUCUUUUUUUCUUAUCAAUUUCUUACUUUCUUAUAUUGAAGAUGCAAUACUGAAAUAAGUGCACUAGACAAAAACUGUAGAACAAGUAGGGAAACCAAAUUUAAAUAAAUAAACAUGUCGCGUAUCUCUUUCCACUUAAACUUUUAGAUGGUGUGAUUCAAUAUGUUAAGAUCCAACAGAAAAUCCUAAAUUAGUUCUCUGAUCACCAUUCAUUUUAUAAAAAUUGUAAACGUGCUUGCAUAUGAAAGGACUUGAUCUUCUAGAUGAUUUAGUUCGAUCCAGUAUCUCAAUAGUGCUAUAAGACCGAAUGGGAAUCUUUUUCUUCUACUUUACCUUUGUGUGCUCGUAUCUUACCAUUUUCCUCACUCACAGCACCAUGAGGUUCCUUCCUCGUUCUCCUUUUCAAGAAGCAGCUGCCUAUGAAAAAAAGCACUAACGAAACAGCAAUUGGAACAACGAUGGCAAGAAUAACUUGUUUUGAAAUUCCUCCAUUUCCUGAAUUGGAAACACAAAAGAAGAAGAGAAACGAUAAAUUUUCUUGUCGUAAUCUUCCACUGAAUACCUAGGAGAUUUACUGAGAUAUAUCCCUUGUUAUGAUCACUGCAGACUUAUAUUGAUGCUUGUUGCUUAUUUAUUUUGUUUUUCGGAAAAAGAAAAAGAAAAAACUAAUCUUUUUUUUCUUUGUAGAAAUCCAUUUUUUUUAAAAUAAUGUAUUGCUUAAGAAUCAAGAAGUUACCUUGACCGGUUGUAGAAGGCGAGGGAGCCGGUGGCUGAAUAGGAGGAAUAUUUGGAGUAGGCUGUGGUUCAAGGACCGUAGUAGGAUCAAAGAAGGAGUAAGUCUCAUACCUAAUAUUACAGCUUUCAAAAAUAACUCUUCCCCCUUUCUUAUUAUCACAACAUGUUCUUAAUUGCGGGAUCGCAUUUCGAAGGCAGAUGUCACAAUCACCACUCGUAAGAUCUGGCGUGCACUGUGCCAGUGUAUACAAUCUUUCAAAUUCCGUGAAGUUAGCUAUUUUUGUAGCAAAUUUCUUACCGGGGAGAUUACUAUUAACUGCUUCCGAUGCUAUUUCAUUCAUCGUCUCUCCUAAUAACUGUCUGAACCUAUUGGGUUCAUCUGUAAUGUUCUCCAUAUUAGACAGGUAUAAAGUGAAAGACAUCUCCAGCCUCGAUAAUAUAGAUUCAUUUGAGUAGCGUAACAUGCAAUAAUCGUACCUGUUGAAACAAUAUUUAAAUGAAUACACAUUGAUCACUUCAACUUUUGGUAAAAUAAAUAGUCAUACCAGAUAGUUGCCCGUUUUUCCUUGGGACAACGUUUCAGGACAUCAGUGAUAGCAUCUUUCACACAUUGUUGGCAAUCAUCAGUGUUAACAUCGCCCCUACAUAGAAAUAGACCGUAGACAGUGUCGGAAGGGCCGUGACCGACCUUGUAAGUGUAAAACCCAUUCUCCCAGGUGCCGUUUGAAGAUAAAGAAAGUAAAGUUUGAUUCAAGUUGGAUCGAUAGGUGCUAUUAGGACUGUAUGUAGCUGUAUCUGGGCACCAAUGGUAACGAGGAUCCGAUCUAAUUCUUAUGCUGAAGCAGAGAAUGCAAAAUAAGCAAAAAUAUGUAGAGGUGAUGAGGGCUGACAUGAUUAACCUUCAAAAAAAAAAUCUGCUUAUAAUUUUGAUAUUUUUUCGAACAGAAAUGGAUUUUUAUUGGAUGUGGAAGGAGUGGUGAGCGAAGACUUGAAGUGCCAGUCAAUGGAAGAGAAUAUUUUGGUUGCAUGGUCCUCGUGGAAAUUAAUAAAGAAGAUAUAUACCAACAAUUUACUUAUUGAUGGAGAAAGGACUGAAUACUGUUGAUUUUUUCAUGGUCUAGAAUUUACAACUCUGAACAUUUCAACUGUCUAGACUUGUCAAAUGUAUCGAAGUGUUCAGUUUCACAAUUGCUUGGCUCGUGAAAAUCACAGCCAACCUGUUACAAGCCAAGUGUUUGUGGGAGUCUAUCUAUGCGCUUGACUGUAGAGGCUCGAUUACCAUCUUCAACAUCCAGCGUAGAAGUAUUAUGAUAUAUUGGAUUGCAUGAUAUUGAGGCAGAUCGAUUCGUAAAAAUCGUUACCUGAAGCUGUUAGGUACCAACAUGCAAAUACAGUGGGACAAUCCACCUCUACCUGCGAUAAAAGGUUGUAGCCUAACCAAACUUACUAUUUCUCAUCCUUUUUUUUUUUUUUUUUUAAAAUUUGAAAAGGGCGUCGUGUCUUAAAUGAUUUGGAGAAUAAUUCGAAGCUGAUUAUGUUUCUACCGGAUAUGAUCAAAUUAAGAGUUUAGCAUGCCUAAUUAAAGGGUUAAAGCACGUUACGCAUGCUUAAGGAAUAAUAUAAAUUGGAGUAAUAACGAGGUUGGAAAACUUUUAAAGAUCUUGAUUUUUAGACUUUAGUGGAGAGAAAAGUCAGAUGAAUUAAUGAAAAAGUAUGCAUAUGUCUUGAGGAAUAAAAAUAAAUAAAAGAUUCAAAUAUUUAGAUGACAAAUAACUAAAAGUAAGAAGAGAAAAAAUAGUUUCGCCAUUCCAUGAGAAAGAAAGAGCAGAGAAAAUGGUUAAAGAAGGGUAUACUUUGAUUUUACACACUUUUCGGAGACUUGUUUUGUCUUUUCCUCCUUCUUGCGAAUACCACUUUAAUGAGCGCGUUCCUCAGUAUUUAACACCAUGUUUGGCUAGGCUUAAAUUUACUUUUUAAGAAUUUUCGUAUUUCUAAAUAUUUUAGAUACAUUUUUCUUGAUUAUAAAUAAAAAUGCUACUUAAUACGAUCAGCUUUACUUUCAAAUCAAGUAUUGUAUGUCGAACUUUUAUUAAAAAAAUGAUUAUGCUUUUUGAAAAUAUAUUUUUCAGAUAUAAUUAAAUAUUUUAAGUUUUGCCAAACACGCUCUAAAUAGUAUCUACUUCUUUGGAUUGGGUGAUAUAAUACGAUGAAAACUAAAAAAAUUGAAUAUACUAAUAAAAUUUUGAAAAUUAGGUCCAUAGUUAUCAAACUCGAUGUGAACGUUGAUUCGACCAAGCCUUCGAGUCACCAGCUCAUUUUUCGAACCGACGAUUAUUGGUCUGGCUGAUGGGUCUUGAUAAGUGCAUUUCACACAUUUAUUUAGGCCACAAAAUAUGAAUAAUUGUCGGCAAAUAACGUGGAAUAUGGUUUAAUUUUAUAUAAAUAUUGUGGAAUAUGAUUAAAUUAUGUUGCUACUACAACAAUUAAGCAUCAAGUAUAAAUUGGCAAUAUAAAAAUCUAAUUCAACCUUACAAGAUGAUUGCGAGAGGACACCUUGUGGUAAGAACUCAGUACAUUUUUCUUUCAUAAAAAUUAGUUAACAAUAUUUUUUUAAAGUCUAUAGAAUCGAUUUUUAAAACUCUAGGCUCUGAUACCAAACUGAAACGCCCCAAAUCUAGAUACCUAGAUUUGGAGGUAUUAUCAUUUGACUUUCUCUUGACAUCGUAAAUGCGGAAGCGAUUAAAUUUUUCUUUGACAAAGUAAACAUCAAUGACUUAUUAAUUUAAAAUAAUUAGUGCUCAAAAGAUAAAACAAUAUAAAUCGAACGUCAACUUUAAUUACAAAAAUGAAUUCAACAACUAAAUAUGAUAGUAUCGAGUUCGUGUCACCACAAGUCAUCAUCCCGAAUCAUCCUGCCUUCAUCAUUUAAAAAUGGGGGAUAACGUGGGAUGAGCUAACGCUCAGUAAGCAAACCUUAUGCACAUGAUGCAUGCUCAUGAUAUGCAUAUGAGUUAUUGUAGAAUAAAAGGCAUUUCUGAAUAUGUAUCCCCUUCUUUUCAUUUCUUUAAAAACUUAACAUUGAUGUCGUGAGCUCAUUUGGUGUAUCGACUAACCAAUCAGAAUGCAGUGGACAAUUAUUAUUUGGAACUUGGUCGAGUCCUGCCAGUAGUACCACAAAGAAUUAACAUUAACAUUAUCAUUAUCAUUGGACAUUGAACAUUGGUCGGGUAAGCCGAUUCCUCACGUCCCAUUCACACCUUUCGUGGUAUAGGCAUACACCUCGUAAUAAAAACAUUGAGGAUACAUAUAUUUUAAAAACAUUUCAUUGAGUCAUGACAUUUGGAAACUAUUUUAUUCCUUAAAACUUUAUGUAUGCUUAUGGAUGCGUUGAUGUGCAUGAAUAUGCAUGAAACAUUCAUGACAUAAAACGUAAUAAUUAAACAUCAAGUUUACAUAAUAGAAAAUUUAGCAACACAUUCAUAUAUUUAAUAGGGGAAUUAUAAAAAAUGUCACUUUAUUUUUUUUGAAAAUGCAAAAAAAAAAAAAAAAAAAAAUUGCAUGUGCACCUAAUUUUAUCAAAAAUGUCAUUUUUUUUGUGGAAAAUGUCCAACUUACCCUUCAUGUCCCCCUAUUAGAAGCAUUUAAUGCUAUGUUCCAAUCCAAUUAAUGUUAUGAUUUAUAUAUAUAUAUAAUAUGAAUUUACUUAAAAAAACGAUAAAAGAAGUAAAAAACCUACUUAACAUCAAACAAAUAUCUUCUUCAACAAACCCUCACUUCACCCAUCUUCUUCAUUCCUUGGUCAAGAAAACAUUACUAUAAGAUUCAUCAUCCAUUUUGAGAGGUUAGUUAUUAUGAUUUGUUUUUAUUUUUAUCGAAUAGCUUACUAUUUUUUAAAUGAUAAAAACAACAUGAUAAUCAAAGUGAAGAAUGCUUUUGAAACUACUAUUAAUCAUGAUGCUCCUCAUUUUUGAAGGGAAAAGAUGCGAAAAAGAUUUAUGCAAAUGUUAAGUGGUAGCAACCUUACCAAAUCGAUGUCGAAGUACGUGUCAGUGAUUAAACUGUCGAACAUAGAAAUGUGAAGAAUAAGACUAUGCUUUAACAAAUAUUCUGACUUGAUUCAACAAUGUCAAAUGAUGAACAACCAUCGCGUAUCUCAUAUAAAUUCAUUAUUUCUCCUGUGACCCCAGUUAUGUGAAAAGCAGUCAUACAUUAUAGAUAAAUAAGCAAUAAUAACAUCAAUCUAAUCAAAGCUAUCAUAGAAGUCAAUUGAUGAACGCAAUUUGUCAUAAUCGUCCUCGUGCAUAUAGAUCUCUACCCACUCAUGUGGGCAACCAAAAUGACAUUUCAAAGCGAAAAUGAAUUCAUCAAUCAAGCAUAAUGAACAAAAAAUGUGAAACAAACCAUUGAAACUGGAACACAGAAAAUGAUUGCAUCAAUCAAGCAUAAACAACGACGAAUCAAUCAACAAAUUAUGAGAUCAUAACAUUUCAUACAUGUUAAUGCGAAACACACGAGCAAUUGGGAACCAAAGUUCAAAUUGUGGAACUAAGCUUAGGUAAAGGAAGGAACUGUCGUUCCUGAUAGUUCAUCUAUCGAAAACUUCAUCUGAUCUGUCGAUGAGUUUAUCUGUCGAGAAUUACUGAUGCUAACUGUCAGGAACGACAGUUCAAGCGAUUUCAGAGCUAUGCUAUCAUUUCAUUAUGACAUAUUGUCAUUUCAUUCUGACACAAUACACAUGUUUUGUACAAGGAUAUAUAAGACAUUCAAAUAAUUCAUAGGGUCAAAAAUGUCCUAAAUUGACAUUUUUGAUGGAAAAUUUGAAAGGUGACAUUUUUGAUAAUGUAUAGCCAAAUUUUGACACCCAAUGAAAUUUUCUCUAUUUAAUAAUAUCACGUGCGCAUGAAGACAAUGGGAGGUUCACUUACCUGAAAUCCUUAGCAAUUUAUAUUUGGAAUGGCAAGUGAAGAUGUCCUUAGCGCCUAUAAGUCUACGUGCCAAAUAACCUAGUCAUUAAUAUUUAUUUAGAAUUUCAACAGUAUUCAUCUUAAAAUCAAUCCAUAUCCUCAUAUGAAUAGACUUAGACUCAUGUAACUAUUCACUUGGGUGAUAAAUUAAUAGAUGUUAAUUACCAUAAAUAAAGGAACCCAAUGAUAAAACAAGUUCCCUGCUCAAACACAGUUUGUGCUAAACGAAUUUACAUGAAUCAUUAUAAACUAGUUAUAAUUAUGUAAGGAGUAUACAUAUAUGCAUAUAGAUACGUGUGCUGGAGAAACUAAAAUGGGUCACUAUACAAUUGGUUGAUCCACAGGUUGCAAGAUGACAUUAAAAUAACAUAAGUUUGACCAUAUCAUGAUUCCAUCAAAUACUGUAAAAUGUCACUAAUCACUAAUUUUUCUAUCAAAUGAUAUUAAAAUAGAAUACAAGUAUUAUACCUCAAGUGCUGACUCCAAACACAGAAGACGAAGUGGAAAAGAAGAACAUGGCUAAUAUUAAGAUUCUACAUUAUAUCCUUUUUAUUUAUAUGAAAGGGUUAAUGAUUUCAUUCCACAAAAAAAUGCACAAGAAGAUCUUCAAUUCCAAAUUUAAAGCAUCAAUUAUGGUAUACAUUGAUUUUGUUUUGUUAACUAAUAUCCAUCAAUUGACUUAAUUAGUGCGCUAAGUAAUCAAAUUGAUUAUAAUUAUCAAGUUAAUUAAGUUGAAUAAAUUUUAUAUAGAUGCAACAUAAACUUCUUUUACUAUAUCUAUAGUUUACUUCAUAGCUUGGUUCAUCUUAUUAUAAUUAACUUUAUUAGGCACGAGAUCAUACCUCCGGAAAAUAUAAUUGUCAUGACAAUAUUAAAUUCAUGAAUAAAAAAUAAAAAUAAAUAUAAGGACAAAUGUUAUAAUUAUAAACACUAAUCAUUUAAAGGCGAAAUGUGAUGUUACAGCAGGACAACAUUAAUGACUUUGGUGGAAGUUAGGAAAAAACAAGUGAAAAAAACCAAAAUGGAAGAAAAUCAGGGACCAGAGUGCAAAUAGUUGAAAGAUGACCCCAGGAAGAAAUGAAGAUUUGAAAGAGCCGAAAAUUAAUUGAGCAAAGAAAUAAAGUGUUGGAAGACGAAGAAAUGAGAAAGAGUUCAAGAAACGAGAAAAUGGAGUUUGGAGACUAAAACACAACUAUAAGAAUUUUUGUUAGCAUAGUGUACUACUCCAUGCGGUUGCAUGCCCAUUUUUAGCAAGUUCCACUGCCAAAUUCCAUUAAACUAUAGUAUAGCAUUGAUUUGUACUACACUAUAGGGUAGUAAUACGAUUCAGGCAGAAAUUUUUGAUUUCCUUAUAUGAUUGAAAUUCAUAUGGAAACAAAUCUUAUGACGUCUUUUAAAGCCCUAAGGUUAGAGGUUUUGGAGCAUAGAAGGAGGUAAUAAACAUGAAGAACGAUUCCAAUGCUCAAAGAUUUAAUGGAAGAUUUAUUUAAGUGAUGUCAAUUCUUCAAUAUUUCUUUUGUUUUCUACUUUCUGACAACAUGCUAGGCUAAAUUUAUUUAUGCUAGGAGAACGAUUAACCCAUUGACAUAUGGUCGACUUCAUCCUCAAUGUUUUGAUCAUAACAAAUAAGAUUAAUAUUGUUUCUAACAAUUUAUUUUGAGUGAUAAUAGUUCAAUGUUAAAAUCAAUCUAGAAUUAUAUAUUGGACUUGAAAUGAAGAUCAAAGUGAAAGUUAAGCAUUCAAGUCAAAUCAUUCGAGACGAGAGCUUAAAAGAUAAAUGUCAAGAACGAUCAAGAUCAAAAGCAUAAGAGAUGGCAUCAAAGAAAGAUCAAGACGAGAAGUUCAAGAGCCAAACAUGAAAAAAAACUUCGAAGCAAGAUCAAAAACUAGGCCUUCUAGAUCAUAUGUAAUGGUAUAACAUUUUGAUCUUUAGUGAUGAAUCACACUAGCUCAAAAAUUAUUUUGUGCACGAAAAGUUAUUUUCACUAUUACUUGCAUAAAAUAUUUUAAUCAAAAGUAAGAUUGAUUUUUCAAAGUCAUACUUGCACUUAGAACACAAUUCGUUAAAAAAAAAGUCAACCGUCACCGAACGUCCGGCUCGCCAAUGGUCAGAUUUUUUAACCAUUCUGACUUCUAACACAGAAUGACCAAUUUGGUCAUUCGGUUCACAAGCGGACGUCCGAUCGGGUAGUUUGAUUGGGUAGAACUUUUUCGUUUUGGUUGCUAUAAAUAACACUUCAAUUUCAUUCAUCACAAUAACUAUGAAGAGUACAUUCUUGCGAAAUAUAUUUGUAAAAAAUCUUCUUUGAGAAAACAUUUUUAUUUUUAUUUCAUUUAUUUCUUCAUAGCAAAAUUUUUUAUUGUUGAAUUAAACUUCUUGAAUCAAUUUCUCUUAUCGAAGUUUUUCAUCUCUCUUUGUUCUUAACUUAUUUAUAUCAAUCUUAAAAGAGAGAUAUAUUUUUGAAGAAGGUCUUUGCCCUUAUAAUUCAUAAUCCGUUGUACUUCUUCAUAUUAAUAACUUUGAUUGAUUAAAUCAAAUUUAUACAACCAUCACAUUCUUAUUUCUUUUAGUAAUUAACUUAUUACAAUCAUUCGUUUAAAGAGAAAUAUUUGUUGAGAAUAUUUUUUUGAACUAACAUUACAUUUAUUUAUUCAUAAUCUUCUCACUGAAACACUUUGAUUGAUUGAAUCUAACUUUUAAUUAUCAUAUUCGUCAAAAUUUUUUAUCUAACAGUUGAUCUUUCAUUUAUUACUAUUCAUUGAAGUGUUAGCCUUCUUUAGUACUUAAUUUAUUUUUUAUUUUAUCAAGAGAGGAUUUUAUUGUAAAAAAUUUUUCAUCUAACACUUGAGCUUUCAUUUAUUACUAUUUAUUGAAGUGUUAGUCUUUCUUAGUACUUAAUUUGUUUUGUAUUAUUUAUCAAAAGAGGAUUUUAUUGUAAAAAAAAUUUUCAUCUAACACUUUAGCUUUCAUAUAUUAUUAUUCAUUGAAGUGUUAGGUUUUAAUAAUAUUUAAUUUAUUUUGUAUUAUUUAUCAAGAGAUGAUUUUACAAUUACUUUGAUAAAGUGUGGGUCACCUUAAAGUCUCGUAAAAAUUAAUAUUGUAUAAGGAUUGGUGCUCCUUGAUGUAAGUCAACUUUUGGGUCAUAUUCAGGUCCCAUAAAACUCAAUAAUAUGGGUCGUGUUGAUGUCCCAUAAAGCUCAACAUCGUAUAAAAAUCGGUGCUCUUUAUUUGUAAGUCAUCGAAAACAUUGUAAAAUGUUGGAUUACACCAUAAGUCAAUCAAUAUAGUGAAAAUGCAUUGCUCGUGCCGAAGAGCUUGGUAACGAAAGACAUAGAUCAUUGCUUUAGAUUGAACCUCUACAAUUAUAUAGUUUGCACCCUCUCUCCCUUUUACUUAUCGCCUUUAUAUUGCACUCAUUAUUUGAAUUUACCUUUUUAGUCUUUACUUGUGUUUCAUAUUUGUUUAAUUGUCUCAUUUGCUAUCAUAUUGGUUUAAAUCUAGAAUUGAUUUUCGAAAAAAUUUAAAAAAUCAAUUCACCCCCCUCUUGGUUAGUCAUUUUUGGGCUUUCAAUUGGUAUCAAAGCGAGGUGCUCACUUUAAAAUUAAGAUUCUACAAUCUUGAGCAAUGUCUAACCAUAUUUUUCAAAAUCUUGUAGGGCAUUCUACAAAUCAUCCUCCUUUCUUUGAUGGUACUAAUUAUAACUAUUUGAGGACUAGAAUAACAAUAUUUAUUCAAUCAAUGGAUUAUAAUAUUUGGGAAGUUAUUGAAUUUGGUCCAUAUGUGCCUAAAAAGAUUAUUAAAGAGAAUGGUAAACCGGAUCAAAUAAUUUCUAAACUCAGAGAAGAAUAUAGUAAAGAGGAUAAAAUAAAAUUAUCUUUAAAUGCUAGAGCAAAAAAUAUAAUUUAUUAUGCUUUAGAUAGAAAUGAAUUUAAUCAUAUCAGUACAUGUGAUUCCAUUUAUGAUAUUUGGCAUGCAUUAGAAAUUACUCGUGUUAGAACUAGUAAAUUAAAAGAAACCAAGAUAAAUCUUUUGGUUAAAGAUUUUGAAAGUUUCUUUAUGAAAGAAAACGAACUGAUUGUUGACAUAAUCACUCGUUUUAACGAUAUUGUAAUAGCCUCAAAGGCUUUGACUGAAAAUUUACUAACUGUGAACUUGUGAGUAAAGUGCUUAGGUCACUCUCGGAAGAAUGGGGUCUAGUAAGAAUGUUAAUAGAAAACUCCAAAGAUAUCAACACAUAUCUAUUAGAUGAGCUCUAUGGAACAUUGAUGACAUAUAAGCUAAAUCGCAAAGAGAUAAAAGAAAAAACAAUGAAAAGCAAAGAAAAGAAAAGAUGGCAAAUUGCUUUAAAAUUCGUAGUUGAUGAAGGCACUUCAAGAGAAAAUACUUGAAGACCUAGUUCUUCUAGUUAAGAAAUGAAAAAGUUUAUGUAACAGUCGUCGAUUCAAGAAGAAAAAGGCAAAGGGAAAAAGAGAUUUAUCUAGAGCUGGAUAUGGUUCAAUUCGGUUCAGUUAUCUUUAGAAGAGAACCGAAUCAGGUCCAAAAUUUUCGAGUAUUUAGUAAGUGGAAUUGUCGGGUUCAAAUUUAAUUAUGGAACCAUUCGAGUUCGGUUCCAUUCGAUUCAGUUCGGUUCGAUUUGGUUCUCAGGUUCCGUAUUAAAAUUAAAUUUUUUAAUAUUUACGAAGUUACAUUAAUUUAACUAAUGAUAUGUUCAAUCUUAACUUUUACAAAAUAAUGUAGUCCAAUCUUAUGUAUCUUUUGCAUCUCUCUUUGCUGUGUUCUUCAUGGAUUUAAUUGUUAAAAUCACAAGAAAAUGAAGAUAUCGAGCUCAAAAUAGAGGCAUUGUCGAGUUUUAAUUCGAUUUCUCCAUCACGGUAGAAACGACAUUACAGGAGAGUAUUAGAUUUGGAUAAAACUUAGGUUAAUUUUUUGAUUAAGUUGACUUUGAAUUGAAAAUUACAAAUAAGAAAAAUCAUAUUUUUGGGUUUGAACUAAAUUAACUAGUUAACAAAUUAGCUUAUUUAAAAUAAAUUAAUUAAAAAAAUUAGGGAGAAUAAGUUCUAUUUCAAUUCUUCGAUUCUUGAUCGAGAAUCGAAAACUGACGAGAAUCCAUCAGUUCUCGAUUCAUAUGCUGGUUCGGGCAAGACUGUGUUUGGACUGGACGCGUGCCGAACGAAGAUUGUGUCUACUGAAUGGGUCUCCCCAUUUCGAUGAGCAACAAUCUGGCAUUGAAUGCUUGAGCCAUUGCUUGGACAAUGAAAUUGGCCGACAUAAGACGAGUAAAGACGAUCGAAGAAGCGUACCAGGAUUAUACUCAAACACAGCAGUACUCUCCAAAGCAUUUAACUUCAGAAGAACCUCUCGGUUCGAUUUGAAAAUUUUGUCGAGCCCUAGAUUUAUCAAAAGGAAAGCACUUCAAUCAACAUGGGAUGAGAGUGAUGAUGAUAACCAUAAAGAAGAUGGAAGUCAACUGAAAAUUGCCUACAUGUGCUUCAUGGCUAUUGAUGAUGGGGUAAAUUCAAAUGGAGGUUACUCAUAUGAUGAAUUAUCUACCUCUUAUGAUAAAACUAUUGGAGAAUUUGAAAAACUUGCUUUAAAUCAUUCAAUCCUUAAAAAGAAGAAUUCUUUAUUGAAAACGAGGUAAAGAAACUUUCGAAAAUUCAAAAUGAUUACGAUUUUUUAAUUAAGGAAAAUUCAUCUUUACAAGAAAGGCUUUUAGAUUUGAAUUGUACAUAAAUUUACUCAAGGCAAGAAAAAAAUAAUUUAAUGUUUGGUGAAUAAAAAUGUGUUUUUGAUAAAGGGAUGAAUCAGAUACAAACCUUUUUUAAAAACAAAUGUCUCUUGAAAAUUUAUUUGUUAAAACUUCAACUUCUCCCAUUUCAAAUGCCACAUGUAAUUUUUGUAAUAAAAAUGGGCAUGUAACUUAUAAUUGUUCAAUUAAAAGGAGGUUGCAUUUUGAAGGCAACUACAAGUGGAUUAAAAAAUCCACUAACACUAACUACCAAGGACCUAAAGCUGUAUGGUAUCAAAGAACAAAAAACUAGAUUAUUUUGUAGGUACCAAGGAAAAUAAAGAACAAAUGGUCUUUUGGUUGUGGAUGUUUGAGCAUAUGACCGGGAAACAAGCUUUAUUCUCAGAGAAAGGAUGGAGUUCAAAAUGAAAAAAAUCGAAGCUAUUGAACACUCCCAAGUGUUCAUCAAUCAAAUUGGAUGGUCAAGGUAUAUUUGUGAACUUAAUAACGAGAUAUAAUCGAAUUUCUUUUAUUUAAUUGCUAGUUGACUCGAUAUUUUAUUUAGUAUGUGCUUAUGUGUUAUAUUCUAAUUUAAUCGGGAAAAAAAAAAAGAACCUCUGAACCAAAAGUUGGAUUUUUAGACAUCUUAGUGGCACUAAGACAUUAAGUCUUUAGCAUCCAUUGGCACCAAUUUUGAUUUACUAGCUAUACGAUAAAUCAAUUGGCCAAUAGUUUUACUAAGCUUCUAGCUUUUGAUAGGCUUUCACAUAUUCGAAGAAGUUUUGAAAUUCUAGAUGUAAUUGAAAUAUAAGGCAAAUAUGUUUAUGUGUUCUUUGGUUGAUAAAACUAUUGUAUUAUGCCUUUAUGAUCAAAAAAUUCAAAAUUUUAUUAAAAAUGGGGAAACGAAUGUUUGAAUUGACAGAAAGUUGGAACUUUUCUAUGCGGACGUUUGGAUCUUUGAAAAGGACGUCCGAUUGAGCAUAAAUCAAGUUUUAUGUAUUUGAAAUAUGCUAUAUAAUGUGGUCUAUUAUGUUUUGAUAUCAAUUGUUCAAUCUUAUUGACGAACUUCAAAAAGAAGGACGGUGGUCAUGAUAUUUUUGAAAAUAAUGUCAAAAGAAAAAUUAUUGAAAUUAUUGAUAAUCACCCAUCUCCCUUUAUUGAAAAAUGUUCUCUUAAUAGAUAAUAUUAGACAUAAUCUAUUUAGUUUCUAGUCAAUUGUGUGAUAAAUGUUAUCAUAUCAAAUUUGAUUAUUCCAUGCCUUAUUGAGGAUACUACAUCAAAAGAGAUGUUGUUUAUAGGAAGUGAAAUAAGGAUGUUUAUGUCAUAAACAUUGAGUUUGAAAAUAAAGAAAAUUAUCAAAUUUCAAAGAUACUUGAUUGUGGUAUAGAAGAUUAGGAGCCUAUUUGGUUUGAAUUAAAAUUUGAUUUUAAUUUAAGUCAAGUCAAAGAAUCAAUAUUAACCACAUCUUUCAUAGGUCAUACAAAUUUUCAAUCGCACAUUUCAAAAACUUCCAGAAUCAUAAGCUCAAAUGGCAAGUAUUAUGCUUUCGUCAUGACUUCUCCAAAUUCACUUAAGUCUUGUUUUUGAACCUAAAGCAUGAAACUUUGAAUAAUUUAAACAUCUUUGUAAAAGGAUUCAAAAUGAAAGUGAUACACUAUCAUAUGUUUGAAGUGAUCAAGAUGGAGAAUUUGAUAAUACCGAUUUUGGUGAUUUUUGCAAAUUGAUGGCUAUUUAUUGGCUCCUAGAAUUUCUCGACAAAAUGGUGUUAUAGAAAGGAAGGAUCGUAUAUUGCAAGAAAUGACUAGGACUAUGCUAAAUAAAAAUAGUUUACUUAAAAUUGUUUGGUUGUAAAUGUUUUAUCUUAAACACUAAAUAAAAUUUGGGAAUUAUCAAUGCAUUUGAAAUAUGUGGCUAAAUUAAAUUCAUACUAAAUGUCUGAUUGAUUCUAUGUGCAUAAUUGGUUGGAAUGUAUAUAAAUUUUAUCCAAAUGAUUAUACUUUUGUCAUUUCAUUACUCAUGCUUUGAUUAAUAUUUUUGCUAUAAAAUGAUGAUUUUCCUCUUAUUUAAACUUGCAUAUAUUUGACAUCUUUGUGCUUAAUUAUGGGGAAAUAUAUUACUAUUUUUUUUAUGAUUGAUUUAAAGCGUUGAUCUUAUGUGACAUACACUUCCUCUCAUAUGUUCUACAUUUUUUUUGGUUUAUUCUACAAGGAAAAAUUGAGUAAGAUAGAUUUCAAAAGCAUAGAAUGAGAAAAUAUUUUAUUGUUUCCUAUGGCCGUGUUUUUUGAUCAUAAAUGUUAUAUCUUUUUGAUUAUGCCAAAAGGGAGAAAUGAAGUGAGAUGAUUAUGCGUGUUUUAAAUUGAAAAUAUAAUAUGCUUAGGAUAUAUGAACAAGGGGGAAGAGUGAAUGUAUGCUUUGAAUAUAUGGUUAUUGAUUUGUAAAAGAUAGGUGAAAUAUGAAUUACAUGAUAUAUUUAUAAUGUAUAUUCCUUUGAUAUAAAUAGCAAAUCAUCUUGCUUGUCAUAAUCAAGAAGGGGGAAAAUAUUGACAUAUGGUCGACUUCAUUUUCAAUGUUUUGAUGAUAACAAACAAGAUUAAUAUUAUUCCUAUCAAUUUAUUUUGAGUAAUGAUAGUUCAAUGAUAGAAUCAAUCAAGCAUUAUAUAUUGGAUUUGAAACGAAGAUUAAAGUGGAAGUUAAGUAUUCAAGUCAAACCAUUCGAGACGAGAGCUUAAAAGAUAAAUGCCAAGGAAUAUCAAGAUCAAAAGCAUUGGAGAUGACAUCAAAAAAAGAUCAAGACAAGUAGUUCAAGAGCCAAACAUGAAAUAAACUCCGAAACAAGAUCAAAGACUAUGCUUUCUAAAUCAUAUGUCAAGGUAUAAUACUUUGAUCUUUAGUAAUGAAUCACCAUAGCUCAAAAAUCAUUUUGUACACGAAAAGUUAUUUUCACUAUUACUUGUAUAAAAUAUUUUAGUCAAAAGUAAGAUUGAUUGUUCAAAGUCAUACUUGAACUUAGAUCACAAUUCUUUUUUUUUUUUUUUUUUUCUAAAAUCAACGGUCAACUGGACGUCCUCGUUCGGUUCAUAAGAAGAUGUCUGGUUGGUUCAUCCGAUAAGGCAGAACUUUUUCGUUUUGAUUGCUAUAAAUAGAACUCCACUUUCAUUCAUCACAACAAUUAUGAAGAGAGCUUGUGAAAUAUUUUCUUUGAGCUUACAUUUUUAUUUUCAUUUCAUUUAUUUCUUCAUAGUAAAAACUUUAAUUGUUGAAUCAAACUUCAUGAAUUAAUUUCUCUCAUUAAAGUUUUUCAUCUCUCUUUGUUUUUAACUUAUUUAUAUCAAUUUUGAAAGAAAGAUAUAUUUUUGAAGAGGGUCUUUGCACUUAUAUUGCAUAAUCCCUUUUACUUCGUCAUAUUAAAAACCUUGAUUGAUUAAAUCAAAUUUGUACAAUCAUCAUAUUCUUAUUUCUCUUAGUACUUAGCAAUCAUUCAUUUAAAGAGAGAGAUUUGUUGACGAGAUUUUUUAAACUUACAUUGUAUUUAUUUCUUCAUAAUCUUUUCACUGAAACACUUCGAUUGAUCUAGUCUAACUUUUAAUUAUCAUAUUCAUCAAAAAAUUUCAUCUAACACUUGAGCUUUCAUUUAUUAUUAUUCAUUGAAGUGUAAGCAUCUCUUAGUACUUCAUUUGUUUUGUAUUAUUUAUCAAGAGAGUGUUUUAUUGUAAAAUCUCUUUGAUUCAUGUUGAAGUCUCUUAAAGAUCAAUAUUGUAUAAGGAUCGGUGCUCCUAGUUGUAAGUUACCAUAUGGGUCAUAUUGAGGUCUCGUAAAACUCAAUAGUGUGGGUCAUGUUGAGGUCCCGUAUGGCUCAACAUUGUAUAAAGAUUGAUGCUCCUUAUUUGUAAGUCAUUGGAAGCGUUGUAAAGGAUUUGAUUGCACCAUAUGUCAAUCAAUAUAGUGAAAAUGCCUUGUUCGUGCAAGAGAGUUUGGGAACGGAGGACGUAAAUAAUUAUUUUGGAUCGAACCUCCACAAUUAUAUUGUUUGUAUCCUCUCUCCCUUUUACUUAUCGUUUUUAUAUAGCGCUUAUUAUUUGGAUGUACCUUUUUAAUCUUUACUUACUUUCGUAUUUGACCAUAUUUGUUUAAUUGUCUCAUUUGUUAUCAUAUUGGUUUAAAUCUAGAAUUAAUUUUCAAAAGAAGUUUUAAAAAGCAAUUCACACCUCCUGGUUUGUCAUUCUUGGGCUUUCAGAACCAUGUGAUAUGAACUUUUAAUCUUUAAUUUUAAAUAUUUGACUUAAAAAAACACUUUUUUAGAUAUUGAAUUAUUUAUAUGAAUUUUUUAUCCGCAAUUAUUGUGCACGGUAAUUGUGUGAAUAUGGUGGCUUAUUUUAUGCAUUUGAAAGAAGGGAAAUAGGUUUGACAUGAUAUUAAUUGUCAUAGGGUCCAAUAAGGGAUAAUAAUACACCACUAUGCCUUAUGUGAAUAUUUAAGUGUUCAUAAAAAUUCAUGCAUUUUUGUAUAUUUGCAUUGUUAGAAAUAUAGCCGGGCCAUAUAUGAUAAUAUGUUUUAUAUUACUCGAGUAAGAUUGUUGAAUAAAAUAGGAACAUUGAUUUGUCAAAAUUCAAUUGUGUUGUCAAGGUGUAGAAUUAAGAUUAAAAAGGAUUAUUAUAUGAGAAUUCGAGAUCCUAGUACGUUUGUCGAUCAAUAAUGCGGAUCAACUUUCACUUAGCAUAAUUUGCAUUUAAUUUAAUUAAUUAAUUCAUAAUUGCAUAAGUAGCUUAAUUUUAGUUAUAAUUUCAUUACAACAAACAACCAUCUUAUUAUCAUUGUUUCGAUUAAGGUCACGACAAUUCAAAUUGAACUAAAUCAAUCCCUGUGAGACGAUACUUGAACUCAAAAUUCACUUUAUUACUUGAUAACGAACCGUACACUUGCGGUAGGUUUAAAUCGAAAUACAUUUUCAUGAACAAGUUUUUGACGUCGUUGUCAGAGAUUAAGUUUUAAUUUGAUUUUAUUUACCUUGUCACUAAUUUAAACUUCUACCUACAUUCUUGUAUUCUUAUUUUCGUUCUAUUUUGUUUUUUUUAUCUUUUUCAGGAUAUAUAAAAUAAAAAAAAUAGCAAGAUAAAAUAACACAUCCUUCUCUCUCUCUUGUCUUUUUUUCAAGAUAUAUUAGAUUUAAGGUUUCGUCAAAUGGAGGCUAAAAAUAUUUCAUUAGAAAGCAUUACAAUUCUUUCAAAUUAUAUUUAAAGGAAAUUGUGGAUGCAUAUGUCCUAUCGAGCAUAGUGGUGUCAACGGUUCAAAGCGUGUAGCAUGCCAUGUUUCUCGUAAAUGAUUUUGAGAAUUACUCGAAACCCCUUACGUUUCAACAGAACUAUGCUCUAAAUGCCUGACACACCUAAUUAAAGGGUAUAUCCCAUGCAGCGGCCGACUCCGGCUUAUUGCUUCUUUUGAAGUAUCUUGAACAUUGCCCGAAGCCCUUUUAGCUUAAGGAAUAAUAGAAAUUGGAGUGGAUGACCAGGUUAAAGAAGUGACUUUAAUGUUAUAGGAUUAUUCAAUAUUGCAUAUGAUUCAAAUGAAGUUUUGCUCUAAUUUGAAUCUGCAUCUUUCAAUCCCAAUAGCUCCCAAACUAUAUCACUCUCUUUAGUACUUGUAUUGUCUUGGUAUACAUAAUCAUUUACACUCCCAUCAAAUAGAGGGGGGCUCGCAUAUACUUUAUUAUGUGUGGGCCCCCUCCAUGUGAGAGGGUGUAAAAGAUUAUAUAUACUAAGAGUGUACACAUAGACUAAUCCCUCUUUAAAUAACUAAUUACUUAUUUUCCCACCAAAAUUAACUAAUCCAAUAAUAAAACUUUUUACAACAUCAAGUUUUAUGUAUUAUCAGUGCUCUUGAUGCCAAUAUAUAUUUCUUUAUCUUCGAUGCAAUUUAGUUGAUGCUUCAUUAAUAGAGAAUUCUGUCAAGGUAGAUGUGGAUUUUUCCAAAUCUUGCAUUUUGUGCAAGCUCCAUGAUUCUUACAGAGGAAAAAUGCAUGUUGACGAGGAAUAGCAAGAGUAGCUAAAUAACUAUUGAGCAUUAACAACAUUGAAGAUCAUGUUUGGUUUUUCAUCUGCAUCUUCUGGAACACAUAGUAAGCCAAUCUCAAUGCAUGGAAUUACUUCAUUCUUAGCAUACGCGUUUUACAAUGUUAGAUCCAUUAAUUCCAAAUGUCAAUUGUCUCUCCAAAGCUUCCAAGCCUGCACAUCAAUAACGGUUGAAUGUUUGAAGCUUUAUGAUAUUUGAAAAAUAUGACCUCAAGAAAUUAUUUGGACAAUGUUAACCCUGGCUAUAGAUGGAAUAGGCGAUCUCCUAAGGCUCCUAAAAAAUAAUUAUUGCCUAUAGUUCAUAAAAAAUUACAAACAAAAUAAAGUCCAAAUGAAAUUAAUAAAGUUAAUUUGGAUUAACAAACAUUAUAAUCUUUAAGGGAGCCGCUAUUUCAUCCACAAAUCUUAUAUAUCUAGCCAUUUUUUUUAAAGGUAUAUUACAUUUUUAACCUCAAGUAAGUUAACUUAAAUAAACAAGAAUAAAACCAAAUGAAAUAUUUCCAUCUAAAUUCAUCCACAAUUUUUCUUUUAUCCCCAUUAAAUGCUUUUGGAACUUUUAUAUUCUUUUAGACUUUGCAUUUAACUAAAACCAUAUUCAUAAAACAUCUUCUUUAAGUUAAAUUUUUUUUUCUAUAUAAUAGUGAAUUUAUGUAUCGUAAAUAUGUUAGAAAGAAUUUCCUCAUCUUUUAUUUUGUUUCAUAAUGAGUGUAUAUUGACAGGCAAAGUGAUCUUAGCACAAUUUGCCAUCUAAUUUUGCAAGAUGUUUAAAAUGUAAAUGGCUCACUUAACAUGUACUCUCUCUCUCUCUCUCUCUCUCUCUCUCUCUCUCUCUCUCUCUCUCUGUAUNNNNNNNNNNNUUCAGCUCUCUCUCUCUCUCUCUCUCUCUCUCUCUCUCUCUCUCUCUCUCUCUCUCUGUAUUCGUCUAACCACAUCAAUAUGAAAUUAUGUGAAAUGUAAUAGGGAUAUGUUGAAAACUAUACUCUAAAAUGAUAAAAAUUAUCAAGAUCUUCGUUGAAUCGAAAUAUUCAAUAAUGAGAUUUGGUUGUUUCUCAAUUUCGCGUCGCAUGAAAAUUCAAAGUGCCACAUAUUUUCAUGAGGGAUAAGAAAUAAUUUUUAACUUCAAUUUUCAUGUUUUCAAGCAUUGAAAACUAAUAUGUAACUAUCAUAAAAUAUUGAAGUUAAGUUUCUUUUUGUAAAGUUUUAUGACCAACUUUCUAUUAACAUAAUGGUAACUAAUGGUGCAUAUAGAAGGCAAAUUUUUUGGCUCAGACCUGUAUUGAAUGGGGUAGGGACAUGGAAUGUGAUCUCAUUGGAUAAUGUUAGAUAUAUUCUUUUUAUAAGUUUGGAGAAUUUUUAAAGUACGACAGAAAUUUUGAUAUUAUGGACAAGAGUUAAUUUUUAAAUUAUGGGCUUGGGAACUUGCUUGCUGAAAGAGACAAAAAAAAAAAAAAAACAAUCAAAUUGCUAAAAUAUAUUAAGAUGAUGGAAAGUUUUUUGUCAAAUGUGUGGAUUGUUUGUAGAAUAUUACUGAAUAUACCAGUUACAAUUGUAUAUGUCAAGAUAAGCUUGACAAAAAAAAAGUAGAUGAAAUCCUACUUUCGGUUCACAAUGUCACGAGGAAUGUUGAAUGGAUUGGUGGAAGCUGCUAUUCUUCCUAUUGCUUAUGAUCUCCAAGAUAAGGAAGCCAAAGCUAAAAAUAUCAAAUUUGGCAGAGAAUUGUCCAUGCAUUGCAUACACCAGAAACAUGUAAUCACUACAAGCUAAAAAAACAUAGAUAUAUCUUGAGCUAAUAAACUUGAGAAGAUAUCAGUAUUUGAUUCUAAUAAAAUCCACUUAUUACUUAAUUCGGAAAAUGAAUUAAAGUAGAACUUACUAUAUCCCAACAAUCCUACUUGUAUUUCCAUAAGAUUCACCAAGGCCAAAAAUUCUUGCCAUGCCAAAAUCUGAUAUUUUUGGGUUCAUAUCUUCAUCUAAUAAUAUAUUGCUAGCUUUGAGAUAAAGAAGUAUAAUUCGUAGACGAGAAUCUUCAUGAAGGUAAACCAGUCUGCGUGCUAUUCCUCUUGUUAUCUUGUAACAUUUUUAUAAAUCCAAUAUUUGCAAUUUUUUUGGGAUUCUACAUUCAUUAAGAGAACGAAUCAGGUAAUUUUAGACUGUUAACAUAGUUUUCAAUCCACUCACUCUUACCCUAAUUGGGAACUCCAGUAACAACCUUGACACGACUUGGCUUAGAGUAAGAUCAGAUGGCAUCUAUUUGAAAACGCAAUGCAUCAUUAAUGUUUUUGACAUCAACGGAUAUCCAAUUCAGUUGACAAUUCGGAUUUAUAAAUAAACUAGCAUCAAAACUGGAAAUCUGAAAUUAAAUAAGAAUAUAAUGACAAAAAACAAAGAUUUGUCUUCGUAAGCACAUUCAGUUAUCUGUAUAUUCUUAAUUAGUCCUGAAAAGAAGAGUGCACGAAUUUUCAUUUUUUAGAAAAUUGUGUGCAAGAACUCCUUUAACAUAUGCAACGUUUUCUCUUGUUCACAAAAAAACUCAGUGUCUAUCUCCUUCAAACUUAAAGUCUUUAGACUCAAUUUUUAAUUCAAGCUCUUUGUUCCUCAAGGCCGAGGUUAUUUUAUCUAUAGUAAGAUCUUGCCCCCUAUAUUCUAAGGCAUUUCUGAUAUCUCUAUAUUUUUCGCUUAGAGAAUUCAGUAAAGCAACAACUAGUUGAUCAUCAGAAAGCUUCUCAUCGCAAUUAUCUAAGUCUAGAAUCAAUUUUGUGAAUUUGUCAAGAUUUUCUUCUAGGCCAAAAGAGGGAUCAAAUUUGAAGUUGUAGAAUUUCUAUAAAAGAUAACACUUAUUAGGCAUGGAUUUGGUUAGAUAGAUUGUUCCUAACUUAGUCCAUAGGGCCUCAGCAGAGGUAUUUUCUUUUACUUUCCUAAUCACACUAUGUGAUAGGUGAAGAAAGAUAGUACUUCAUGCAGUAUCAUCUAGUUCUUGUCUCUUAUAGGCACUAAAUUCUGUUGCCCAAGUUCUAGUAAGGGUAGCAGCACAUCUCUGUUGUAAUAAUAGAGCUCUCAUCUUUUAGUAUCAGAGAUUAAAAUCUCCAGUACCAUUCCAUGUCUCAAUUUCAAAUUUAUGUACAGUGAACAUGAUGACAAGUACAAAUAUAAAAUUACAAUUACACAACACACAAAGUAUGAUUGAUUCAAGUAGAUUAUUGAAGUAUCAAACAGGUUAAUAUCUGAAUAAAAUAGGAAAGUUACAGUUAUACCUACUUAACAUAUAAUUCACAGCAGUAUAAUUGUUAAUUUGAAAGGGUUUAAGGAGUGGUAACCCUUGGUUCCACUACUCUCUCAGAUUCCCAUAUCUUUGAAGAGAUCUUCGACAAAGGAAAGCAGACAAGGAUCGCUUACCUUAAUAACCGGUUCCAAAAUUAACAAGAAAUGCUAGUAAAUUAAAGAGGAGGUUCAAAAAUAUACCAAAGUCUGAAAUCUUAGAAUUUCAAAAUGGGGAAAAUGGUAAGAGAAUACUAGAAUUGAACCAAGAAUUCCAAUGCAGGUGCAAGAAAUCAACGAGUCACCAAAACUCGAUAGGAACUUAGCAAGAAUCAGAACGAGUCAACUAAACUCAACAAAUACAGUACGAGUUAAAAAUACCCACAAGGACUCAGUGGUGAGCUAACUCACGAAUCGCCAAGACUCAGCAAAAACAACAGAUCAUACUGAGUUAGAAGUAAGUUAAAAUCAAGUUAUGAGGAAAACCCCCUUUUGCUUCAAAAGUAAUAUACAACCUUCAAUAAGAUCCAUAGAUCUUAAAUAAGAAUACUAGAAAACACUGAGAGAUCCAACCAAUAGUUGAAUCGAGGGUAGAACAAAAAAAAACCCUUUUUCAGAUCAUCAUUUUCAUACUCAAAGUUAAAAAAUUUCAGAAAAGGGUUUUCAAACACACCAGAAGUGAAGAACUGGCCAAAAUUUUUGAGCAAGUCGUAUGAUACCACUUGUUAUGCCCAAAGGAGUUUAAAAAUAAUGGAUCGAUCUAUACAUCAAUAACAAAAAUCGCAGAACAUUAAAGAUCAUAGAACAAAUGAUAUGUUUUUGCCCUGAAAAAAGGCCCAGAUGUUCAGUGUAGCUACCUAAUCACCCGUUAAGCAUCUGUCACGAGAUAUUGCUCUAGAUCCACUAAUAUCAACCAAGAAAUCAGUACAGAUGUUUCAAGAAAUUGUCAAUUUUUUCAAGUUAUUUGUAGCCUCUUUAUAUUACAAACUAUAGUCAGAAAACUCACAAUCUCAAUAUGACUAUACAAAAUAAUUAGAAUCACACACAAAGAAAGAGAUUAAACCCACAAAAGGUAGAGUAUAGAUUCACCCAAGAAAAAACCCUAGUUAUCACUCAGAUAGAGAGCGGCAGAUGAAAAAGCCAACAACAGAACACACUAGAAUUAGAAGAGACCAAGAACAAGUAAAUAUCUGUUCAACCAAAAGUCACAAUCCAAUGGUUAGAAAAUAGCUACAUGGACGGUAGAUUCGCAUCCCUUAAUAAGAGGCAAAGGAAUGUAACCAAGAAACACGAUUUUACAAUGAAGCUGCAAUCUAAAAGUGGAGAAGAGAGGCCCAACAACGUGUGUCCCAACAGGCCAAGAAUAAUAGUGAGGCAUCUUAACUCAAUUUAACAAUGCCUUAGGAAAUUAUUCACAUAUGCUGAUUUGGGAAAACAAAAAUAUUCUAACCAAUGUAAAUUACAUGUGAAAAUGAUAUCUUAUAUAUUAUUCAACUGCAAUCAUUUAGUCUCGGGUCAAGUGAAUUAUGGUAUAAAACGAUUGGAAAAAACUAAAAUAUUUCGACCAAUGAAAAUUACGUGUAAAAAUGACAUCUUAUAUAAACCGUAAAAAUCAAAGUUACAAAUUAGUUAGAAAAAAAAAUUAUAUGUAAAUAAUUCUACGCGUCCAUAAUUUUAGCUAAGUUUAAUAAACUAGUAAAACUUACUUUCGAUGGUAAAGAUAAGCUGUCUUAUUUAUUUUUUGUGCUUUUGAUGACAAUAUAUAUUUCUCUAUCUUGGAUAUGAUUUAGUAAUUGAUGCUUCAUUAAUAGAGAAGGCCGUCGAGGUUGUCCUGGAUCUGUACAAAUCCUACACUUUGGGCAAGCUCUGUGUUCUACUAUGAAGAAAAAAUGUUCGUUGAUGAGGAACAACAAGAAUAGCUGAAUAACUAUUGAGUAUCAAAAGUAUCGAUGCCAUGUUUAGCCUUUCAUUAGCAUCUUCUUGAAAACACAGUAAGCCAAUCUAAAUACAUCGAAAUAUUUCAUUCCUAGCAUAAGCAUUUUGUAAUGCUAGAUCUAUCAAUUCCAAAGGUCUAUUGUCUCUCCAAAGCUUUCAAGCUUGCAUAUCAAUCAUUGUUAAUUUUUUUAAGCUCUAAUCCUAAUUACAAUAGAAAUAAUAAACGAAAGGAAAGCAGAAGUAUAUUGUUAACAAAUAUGUCUCAAGAAAUAAUUUGUAGUUUGCACUUACAUAGCUUAUGAGAUCCUCAGCACCAUCUGAUUAGCAGAAGUUGCUAUUUUUCCUAUUGCUUAUGAUUUCCAAAACAAGGAUGCCAAAGCUAAAAAUAUCAUAUUUUACAAAGAACUGUCUAUGCAUUGUAUACUCCAGAGACAUGUGACCACUACAAGCUAGAAAAAUAUCGAUAUAUCUUGUGCUAAUAAACUUAAAAAGAUAUCAGUUUUUGAUUCUAAAUGACGGGGCCACCUACCAAAGGCUUGUGAACAAAAUGUUUGCCAACUUCAUUGACAAAACAAUGGAUGUCUACGUGGACUACAUGCUCGUCAAAAGCUUAAAGGCGAUUGAUCAUGUGGCACACCUGAACGAAACUUUUUAAAUUCUAUGGGGGUACAGGAUGAGAUUGAACCCCCUUAAAUGUGCGUUCGGGGUUGUCUCCGGCAAGUUCCUGGGGGGUAUGUGGUUAACUAAAGAGGCAUAGAAGCAAGUUCAUAAGGUUAAAUGGAGAAAGUAUAAGCUUUGAUUGAGAUGAGGCCACCCCAAAAGUCAAAAGCGUGGUGGCUCUAACUCACUUCAUUUCAAAGACCACCGACAAAUGAUUCUUUUUCUUUAAGGUUUUGGAUGGGAAAAAAGUUCUAAUGGAUGAUAGAGUGUAAAUAGGCCUUCUAUGGCUAAAAAGGCACCUAAGGCAGGCCCCCUAUCAAAAACUAGGCUUGGAGUAGCUUUACAACUUUAAUUGGUCCUCUAUAAUGAUGCCAUUAAUGUAGUCCUUAUCAGAGAAGAAGGUAUUACCUAGUUGUUAGUCUAUUACAUUAGUAAGCCAUUUCUAGUGCCCGAAAUUCGCUACCUGAUACGAAGAAGCUAGCCUUGGCAUUGAUAAUGGCUUCUAGAAAGUUGAUGCUCUACUUCUAAACCCAUACUAUACAUGUGUUAACCAACUUUCCACUUAGACAAGUGCUCCAAAAGCUUGAUGCCUUAGGGAGGUUGUAGAAAUAGAUAGUUGAGCUCAGCAUAUUUGAUAUCCUCUUCAGGACGAGAGCUACUAUCAAGGGCUAGGCCCUAGCGGACUUUAUGGUAGAAUUUUCCAAUAUUCCUAAAAUGGAAGAGGUAACAGAACAUGUAGAACAUCCCAUGUGGAACCUGUUCGUAGAUGGUUCAGCUAGAAAAAUGGGCUCUGGAGCUGGAAUGGUCUUAAUAAGCCCUGAGGGUCAUAAAUUGAAUUUUGUAGUGAGGUUCAGGUUUAAGGUCACAAACAAUGUGGCUGAGUGCAAAAAACUGCUUUUGGGCCUCCGGUUGGCCAAAGAAUGGCAAGUGAUCAUUAGCUAAGUCAACAGUAAUUUCACAGCCAAGGACAACGGCAUGGUAUCAUAUCUUAAAUUGGUGAUGGGCGUACUCCCAUCUUUUGAAAAGUUUGAGAUAGCUUAAAUUCCACGGGUCGAGAACGCCCAUGCUGAUGCCUUGUCCAAGUUGGUCAGUAGCAAAGAUUUUGAGCUACCAAACAGUUGUGCCCAUAGAGCAUCUUGCGGACCCUUUCAUAUCAGUGGCAAAGGAAGUGAUGCAGGUAGAAGGGACCCCCAUCUGGAUGUAACCUAUUGUAGCCUAUCUCAAAGACUAGGUUUUCCCUGACGAUAAAGAAGCCUACAAGCUCAGGAGGAGGUCCCUUCAUUUUAUAAUCUUGGAUAACGUGUUUUACAAAAGCAGAUUUUCCUCUUCCUUCCUUCAAUGUGUUGGAAGGAAAUGAGCUAUUUAUAUACUCCGUGAGAUCCAUGACGAUAUUUGUGGCAAUCAUUUGGGAGGACUUGCAUUUGCAUAAAAGGUGCUAAGGUGGGGUAUUAUUGGCCCACACUGAAAAAGAAUGCAAUUCAGUUUGUAUGAAAAUGCGACAAAAUGCCAACCUUUCUCCCAUAUUCAAAGACAACCCUAUCAUGAACAAACUACAGUAUCCAACACCUAACUGUUUGUAAAGUGAGGCAUGGACCUUAUAGGCCCCUUACCUAAGGGCAAAGGUAGUGCAAGUUUUGUUAUCGUUGUUAUUGAUUAUUUCACCAAAUGGGUUGAAGCCGAACCUUUGACCAAAAUCACAGAAGUGAACACUUCCAAGUUCUUGUGGAAGAACCUUAUAUGUAGGUUUGGAAUUCCCUAUUCAAUCGUCUUAGAUAAUGAGAGAUAAUUUGAUAACAAAAAGAUCAGGUACCUAUGCGAGGAGUUAGAAAUCAAGAAGCAUUUCUCCAUACUCCAUCAUCCCCAAGCUAAUGGAUAGUCGAGGUUGUGAACAAAACUAUCAAGAACACUUUGAAACAAAAGCUCGAUGCAUCCAAAGGAGCAUGGGAUGAUAAGCUAUUACAAGCGUUGUGGGCAAACCGAACUACCAGUAGGACCCCAAUUGGAGAAACCCUCUUCUUGAUGACCUAUGUUAUUGAGGCAAUAAGCCAUGUAGAGGUUGGAUUGCCUCUCUAUUUCGAUUGUAAUUCAAUGAUGUAUCAAAUGAUGAGCUAAAAAGAUGUGAGCUCGAUUUCCUUGAUGAAAGAAGAGAUGACUCCCAAUUGAAACUGGCAACAUAUCAAAGGAAGAUGACACCCUGCUGUAAUGCAAAGGUCAAGAAAAGAUCCUUUCGGAUAUAUGACUUAGUUCUUUGAUGGGGUUGAAAUUAAGAAUGUCUGUACCGCGUCAAAGUGGAGCUUCGACUUGGCACUUAUUGGAUAAAAGACAUGGAUGGAAAUGUAUAGCCUCGUCCAUGGAAUAUUGAGCAUUUAAGAAUAUAAUAGCAAUGAAUGUAAUUAGCAGCUGGAAGAUCUUACCCAGCCUGAGCACAAAACUCUUGAAUGUGAAUAAAAAAAAUGGUGUUUCGUUAAAGAAAUCUUAAAUAGAAGUCUCAGUGGUUAAGAGUGGACACUUCGAAAAAGAGGAUAGGAUCCCAAAAAGAAUUACCUCAUUUGUUCUCUGAGGCAUACAUCACAUGCCUCACCUUUAUGAAGUUGAAUAUCAAGGGAGAAGCCCUUGCAUGGUGGAAUCAUCCACCAUAUAGGGUAGCAUGGGAGCCUCGAAGAAAAGGAUGGAUCCUAAAAAGGAUUACCUCAUUUGUUCUUCAAGGCGUACAACAUAUGCCUCACCUCGACGAAGCUAAACGUCAACAAAGAAGCCUUUGCAUGGUUGAACCAUCCAUCAUGUAGGAAAGCCUGGGCAUCUCGAAGAAAAGGAUUGGAUCACAAAAGGGAUUACAUGCCUUACCUUGAUGAAGCUGAACGUCAAGAAAGAAGUGUUUGCAUGGUUGAACCAUCCACCAUAUAGGAAAACAUAGGUGCCUCGAAGAAGAGGAUCAGAUCCCAAAAGGGAUUACCUCAUUUGUUCUCCGAGGCGUACAUCACAUACCUCACUUUGACGAAGCUGAACGUCAAUGUAGAAGCCUUUACAUUAAGUGCUCUCUAAAUUAGCCGAGUUUGAAAUGUUUUAAGUUGAACUUUAUUAAAAAGGAGGGAAACGUUAUCCAAGUUUCAUGAUUAUUCAACUUUAACAUGUUUUAAGUGCUGCAAUGAAUUAGGUGAUUGAACUAGUUAAGUCAUGUACUUUGUGAAAUCCAUAAUCAAAUUAUAAAAGUCAAUACUUUAUUUAGGUUAUCACACUUGAAUAAUUAAAAACAUUGAAGAAAACAUGAGACAUCGAAAUGCAAAAACUUUCUUUUUAUUACAUAACAAAAUAUUUACAAGGGGGCUAUAGCCACACUACAAAAGUUAAAAAUAGAAAAUCUACACUAAGCAUUAUAUAGCUGAGGUCCCAAAACAACCUCAAUAGUAGGCGCUUUAGCAACUGAUUUUUUCGACCUGAAGCUCCUCCUCAAAAGCGUCUUAGUCCAUUUCUUCAUUGGCCUCAACUGCAUCAUCAGCUAUUGUCUGAGGCACCUCGUCUAAGAACUCCGCCGUUAGUUCAACACCGUUGAGUUCUGGGUAAGGCUCCUCCACCUUUCCAUUACCUAAGCAUAGGUGAACCUUCUCCAGUAGAUGUUGAAACGCUGACACUCUUCUAUAGGAUAGAAGUUGGCAAUGUAGUUUUUCAUUGCCUCCUCAACUGCAAUUGAGCCUCAACCUUGGCUGUAUUAGCCUCUUGCACAUAAUGCUUUAUUUGGCCCCUAUAAACUGAUUCCAAUCCUUGAGCCCAACGAGCUCCAAAUUGGCCUUCUCCAAGACUUUAUCCGUGAGCUUUUGAUGAUUGUUUGAGGUUUCUGCCUUCUUUGUUUUGGAAGCCACCUCACAUUGGGACUCAUGAACUUUCCUCUUUAGAGCUCCAAUUUCAGCUGAGGCAGAUUCCAACUUGGCUACAUCUUCAGCUCGCCUGGACCCUCAUCGCAUUGACCUUUGUUUUCUUUAUCUCAUCAUCAACUGAAGCCAACUUUUCAAUCAAGGCUUUAUUGUGCAUUUGAAUGUCAGCUAACACCUCUUAACACUUAAGGAGAACCCCAAAAGCCAUGGUACUUUGCUAACUAGGAUCGCUAUAAGAUUCAUCACAUCACAGGUGGACAUAUAGGACUACCAUCUUUUGGUCCAAAAUUUAUAAAAGUUUACAGUGGUGCCUCAAACUUCUUAAGGAAGCAUAUCCAUAAUGACAGGGACAAUUUUCUCAUCUUGCUUCGUCAGGAAUCUUUACAACUUUCUAGGAGUCCUAGCUGUGACAGCUUUCUUCGCAACGACCCUCUGAAUUACCUCUACUUUGAUUGCCUUCAUGAAGGCCUCCAUGAGCUUCGAGGUGAAUGCGCGAUAGGUUUGGUAGUCGGGGCAAUAGUAGUGUUGAACUUCCCAGAGGUAGAGCUAUUAUGGGAUAGUUUCCUUUUUUUUUCUGGGGCUCUUCCACCUUUUUCUUCUUCUUAUCUACCCUCUCCAGGCAUUUGUCAACCCUUUGCCUCUCCUCCUCACCCCUCCUUUCAAUGCUUUCCUUGCUGAGGCACUCCAACUUACUCCCGAUAUGCUUGGCACCCCCAGAAGAAGGCUAUAGAGCCCUAGCGCGAACAGUAGAAGUGGCUUUUAAGAUUGAGGCCAUGUCAGGGAUAUGAUACUUUUUCUUCUUGAAAUUAUCUACAAAUAGCAAAAAACAAAGGUUAGAAACUAUCGAAAUAGCUAUGAUGUAACCUACACACAAGGUUCCAGAGAUUACCUCUCGAGGUCAUCAGUCCGAAGUCCAAAAAAUAUCUACUUCGAUCUAUCAAAUGAUCGAAGUUGCACAACUUCAGAUGAUGCUUGUAGAUGUCCUCAAUAAUGUCCUACUCCGCCUCGUAAAACUUAAAGUGAGACCUCGAAUAUAUAGAAAGAGACAAUGCCAAUUGGAAAUAAUGGAAAAGAAAAACAAUAUAUAAAAGAAGGCACUCACGUGCUUCAGAGUGCUGGGUUGGUACGGUGCAAGCUAGGGCUCCCUCAACUAUUUGCUACCUCCCUCUUACCCAAAAUCAUGGUUCCUUCCACCCCUUAAUGGAUAAAGGAAGACCACUACAAAGGGAGCGUGAGCUCUCCAAGGCGUCAUGUAGUACCACCCCUUCAACUUGUCUUUCCCGUGUACUCGAGGUUAGAAAAUUUUUGAAAGACAUCUAGAGGUAGGCCUAGGCGUGGUUUGGUUUGGGUCGGUUUUGACCUCAACCCGAAACCAAAAUCAAAUUAGUCGGUUUGGAAAAAUUUCAACCCAAACCAACCCACUCUAACUCUUAAACCAAACCAACCCAAACCAAAUCGGUUCGGUUUGAUUUGGUUUGGUUCGUCGGUUUAGACUUUGAACAAUUAUCGCAUAAUAAAAAAUGAAAAGUCAUGCAAAAAAUAAUAUAUGCCAUUUAAUUUAACCACUCACACUGACAUAGUCAAUAACCAACAUAUAACCAUAACCAAAUCGAAUCUUCAUCAAGCUUUUUUCCAUCCCAAUAUAAUCCAAAGUCAAGAGUAAGAAAAUAAAUUUUAUGUUACAAGAAAGAAACUCAAGCACAAAAAAUAAAUUUUGUCAACAUCUAAUGUAUAGACUCGAUGAAAAUAAAAUGUCCAGGAAAGUAAAGUCGAAGUUCCAAAAGUUGUCUACCAAGCACGGUCAUCAUUUUGAAUAACCUUUACCUACAAAACGUGGUAACUUAAAUUAUAUUUCAUUGUAAAGAUAUGAUCAAAUGCGAUGUAAAACAAUAAAAUUACCUUACGCAAACACUUUAAAAUAACUUAUUUAUCUUUGAUGUUGGAAUCUUCAUCCGUCUUCGUUACUUUCGAAAGAUCUAAAAAAUAAAAUGAUUCAAUUAGUAGUAAAUGAAUUUGAAACACAUGUAAUUAACACACUUAAUAAAAUAGUUAAUUAAUAAUUAUCUUCAUCCAAUUUAUUAUAAUACUCUACAUUCUCCAUGUAAAAUUUGUCUUCGCUUGGAGUAGAUUUGAGCCAAUUUUGAGUGCAAACUAAAAUCUCGACCAUCUUAGCAGUUAAAGAACUAUGAAAUGGGUCUAGAAUUCUUUCCUCCGUACUAAAAGUACUUUCUAAAGCCACUGUAGACACUUGAAUUGUCAACACAUCUUUUGCAAGUUAGGACAAUGUUCUAUACUUACUCCUCCUUCUCUAUAUCUUCACAAGUAUCCAAUAAAUAUCUUUCCACAUAGGUAUCCAAUAAAUAUCUUUCCAAGUCAUUUUUUAUCUCAACUGAAUCUUUUGUUGCUUGUUGUUCUUUAAACUUGGAAAUACGAGUAGAAGAUGCACUACAAGUAGAACUGGCUUGACUGGUAGAAGAUAACCCACUCGCAGAUGUAUCCAUCUAUACUUGACUACUUUGUAGACUUCUCUCAUACAUCACAUGCCAGUCAUAAAUAGAAAAUAAAUUUUCCUUCAAUGUUUGGGUCAUUGUACUAGCUAUUUUUUUAUCAUCAUAAAUAUCACAAAAAUAAUACUGAACAUAAUCUAAUUUAUAUAUAGGAUAAAGCACGGUAGCAAUCAACAACAUUUGAUUGACAUUGUCCAUAUUCCCCCAAUACUUAUCAAAUUUUCUCUUCAUAUUAGUGGCCAUUUCACCUAAAAGCUAAUUUUCACUUGAACUCAAAUAUGCUAAAUCCGCUACAAGUGAACAUACUUCAUGAAGAUAAAUUUUGGAGCUAACGUGUAAUGCAGUACUAAAAUUUAAAGUGAUUUUGUAAAACCCCUUAAGAAAUUUGACAAAAAUAGAUGCAUUUCCCCAAUCACUUACUAAAUGGGGUUCACCUCUUCUUCUACCACCAUCAUCCUCUUGAAAAUAACUUAAGUAAUGUCCAUCCUCCUCUUCUAAGCACUCGAAAGCUUUUUGAUACUUCAAAGCAACCUCCAACAUUAAAUAGGUAGAAUUCGACCUUGUAGGCAUAUCUAGAAACACAAGUGAUUUUGAUUCGAUAUUUUCUUUAGUUGUACACUCUUUCAAUUUUUUGUAUCUAGCAGGCGAGGAUUUUACAUACUUCACUGCAUUACAAAUACUAACUAUUGAAUCAUGUGCUUCCUUCAGCCCUCACAUACUAUGAAGUUAAUGAUAUGUGCACAACAUCUCAUGUGCAAAUAUUUUCCAUCCAAAACACACCCAUCACUACCCUAACCAAUCAUCUUCCUUCUAAGAUAUGAAAUAGCCAUUUCAUUUGCACUAGCGUUGUCCACUGUGAUUGUAAACACCUUGUCAAGGCCCCACUCAUGCGAGCAACUUUCUAUAACCUUGCCGAUGGUUUCACCUUUGUGACUAGGUAUCACACAAAAAUUCAAAAUUCUUUUCUUAAUCAUCCAAUUAGAGUCAACGUAAUGGGCUGUAAGAGACAUAUAAUUUAUAUUUUGAAUAGAUGUCCAAGUAUAUGUAGUAAGUGAAACUCUUUGACAUUGAAUAGUAAGGUUCUUUCUCAACUCUAAUUUCUCACUCAAAUAUAGUUGGUAAAUAUCCCUCACAAUAGUCCUACGCGAUGGAGGAUCAAAUUUAGGACAAGCUACACUACAAAGGUAUCUAAAUCCCAUCACUUCAACAAAAUAAAAGGUAGUUCAUUGACAACCACCAUCUGUGCACAUGCUAAUCUACACUCCUCCUUACUAAACCCAAUAGCCAUAAGAUUGAUCCCACCACCAUCAACUUGUUUAUCAAAACUUAAGAUUUUUUGCUUUUUGUCACCCAUCCUACCAAGAUACUUUUUAAAAUGUUUAACUAAAUGACAUCUUAAAGUACUAGCCCCAUAUUUCUCAGCUCCACAGGCAUAAGAUUGCCCACAAUAUUUACACUCACACCUAACAUCUUCAUCUUUUGGAUCUCCCAUUAUCGUGAAAUGAUCCCAUAAAUUCGAAGUUUUCCUGUUAUGCUUUCUUUUCCCUAAACAUGAUAGUGAAAGUAGAGGAAGAUUCGUAAUAUUUCUACAUGGAAUUCAUGUUGCUGGGGUUUCACCAAUGUAUUGACACUUAUUGUCGAUAUCCAUAUUCAAACACUUGCACAUAGUGUACAAAGGUUAAUCGAUAUUGCUGGUGUUUCACCAAUGUAUUCACACUCAUUGCUGGAAUUGAUGUUGCUGGGAUUUUAGGAUUGUUAAUUUACACUUACAAGUUACAAAGGUUAAAUAGAAAUAUAGAUUCCACAAUCUCAAAUAUGGAUUACAGAUUUACAAAUUUAAAUAGAAACAGUUUAUAGAUGCAUUCCACAAUCUCAAAUAUGGAUUACAAUUUCAGAUUACACAUAUAAAUGCAAUAGAUUUCAAAUUUCCACGAGAUAAAGUACUAAAGCAGGGUCUUUAGAACAAUUUAAGUAAUUUAAGCUAAACAGAACAAUAAGCAAACAUUGAAAUAUAAAUGUAAAAAUAGUACUUUGUGCAAUUGAACAGGGUCUUCAGAACAAUUUAUAAAACAUAGAGCCACCAGAAAGAACAAUCCAAACAUAAAUUAACACUCAAGCAAAAUAGUCUAAACACAAAAAUUGAACUAGAUCAAAUGAAGAAAUGAAUAUUGGAUUACCUUAUAGCUACGGAGUCGGACUGUCGGAGUCUCGAUGAGUUGAAGUUGAUUUCAGGCUUUAGAAGUAAUAUAGGAGCUAGGAAAAAGCGCUCAAAUUUAGAUUGCAAUGGGAGUUGGAGACGGCGAUGAGAGAUUGGAAAAACCGACUACAAUGAGAUUAGUUUAGGGUAACCAAGUGACAAAGUGAAAUAUGUGAUUUGGGAAUGAAAUCUGUGAUUUUGGGAGUGAAAUUGUGAUUUGGGAAUGAAAUAUGUGAUUCACUGAUUUGGAAGGGAAAAAUAAAACCUUCGUGGUUGUGGAUUGGGCCGGUUUGGUUCCCUACCGGUUUGAGCCUUCAAAUCAUGAACUGAACUAACCCAAUUCGGUUUUACUUAAUAAAAACCAAACCAACCUGAAUCGGUUCGGCUUGAUUGGUUCAGGCGGUUUACCGAUUUUUUUUGGCCUGCCCUAUCUAGAGGCAUGUCCUUGCCAAGGGAGACUUCCUUCCAAAUAAAAUAGGCCUCAACCAACUGGCUCCACCCAUUUGGCAAAACUUGGUUUGGAGCCAAUAUGAAAGACCUAAGCAUCAUCCCAGAGAAAUGGUAUAAUGGUAGACGCAUUCCUACUUUAAAGAGGAAUUCACUAACUGCCACAUAACCCAGCCUCGGAGAGUAGGCAUGUUCGUGGGCCUCGAGUACUAGGAGUUCUAUGUAAACUAGGAUAUUAUAUUUUUUCCUAAGUUCGGCUAGUUUGAUGGAAGUCAUAGCAGAAGGGAUUUUGGCAGCCCCCACCACGCCUCAUAAUCUAUGAGACCUUUAAUCAUGGCCUAAAAUCCUCCUAUGACCCCCUAAGCAAAGCUUAUUCUCCAAACCUCGCAAUCGUUACCUGACCACUGCUAGCACUUGACCCGAAAGCCAUUGAAGAUAAUAUAAAAUGAUGGAGAUGACGAUAAAAACAGAAUCCAACAUAAAAGUUACCUAGAUGAAAGGAAGAUCUAAGAACGAAUGUUCGCCGAAAAAUGGAUAUUAUUGGAAAAGUUUUGAGUGUUGGGAAAAUUUAGAUGAUUUUCACAGAAGCAAACAUAUAACAAUGCUAGUGUCUGUCUUUUAUACCAAAGAAAGAAUGAUCCUCAGUCGUUGGACCAAGAUCCGUUCAAUCUGAGGUGUCCAAUUUUCAACCAAAUUUGAGGCGUUGAAUUCAAAUAGUUUUUCUUACAAAUGUCCCAAAUCAAUAUGUGUCUCCCACGCACAAGCCUCAGCGCAUCACGUUUCGAAUGCAGCACCAUGGCCAUCAUUGUACGUUUAAUAUAAUAGUCGUACGUGUAUUGGUAGUCAUAACGCUUUGACUGUCUUUUCUUGGUAAUAUGUAAAAAUAUCAAAUCAUUGGCACCACCAUCGAGAUCAAUAUCUUCAAAAUAAAAAGAGUCUCGACAGUUUAGCAUCAUCAUGCCUCGGCCCAAAAUAAAUUUCAGCUAUCUUCGAAAUCAAGUGAACCUGGACAGUUCAGCAUCAUCCUGCUUUGACCCAAAAUAAAUUUCAACUAUUUUCAAAAUUAAAUGAGCCUCGACAGUUCAGUACUAUCCUACCUUGGCUCAAACAAAUUUGAGGUAUUUUCGCACUACGAAGCAAAUGUGGCUAAACUUCCAACUUCAAGCAUGAUAUAAAUAUCCAUCCUUGGACUGUGGGAGACCAUUAUUGUGUUAUUGUUGUUGACUUAAUACUGAAGUCCAUGCAUGAUACGAAUACCUAUAUAUGGACUUGGGAAAUUAUUGUUACACCUCGCCACACGUGGCUCCACGUGGCCAACGAACAAAGGCUCUCUGAUCGAUUAUUGGAUUAGUCGACCCACUCAAAUUGGAAAAACACUUUUACCGAAGCCAUUUGCAUGAAGGACGAAGACCUGAAGCUAUGUCUGAGGCUCACUUGUAUGCUGAAGUAAAGAUACUAAGGUGAAAAAGGUUAACAAAGUCAAAACUGAAGCCCAACCACAACAAGUGACGAUCCACAUGUAAAGAUCCUAAAUUUAUGUAUGGAAUCCUUUUGGAAUGAUUGAUGGGACCAUUGUAGAGUAAAAUGUCAAAUCCUAUCAGUUUAGGCAAUAUGGAAGCUACUCUUUAUAAGAACAUUAAAUGCAUCACAGGUUAUGAAGUUCAAAUGAAUGUCUAGGAUUAGAUGUUUCAGUUGAGGAGAUGAGGCCACGUUUAUCUUCAUCCAAUGAAUGCCAUUUUAUUUGUAAUACAAUAAAUACCCCCUUCAUGUAUCAUUUGGAAACUAAUGCAACUCAAUACACUUAAAGAUACUAUUUGUCUUCUCUCUCGUUGAUUAUACACUCGCUUAACUUGAGUUUGGAUUACUUCAAUUUCUUAGAGUUGUUUGCGAUUGGUUAUUAUGUUACAAUCAUUCCCUUAUAUUUUGCAGGAGCUCGAACAUAUUUAUCUCGUGUUCUUAGGCUUCUCCCAUGUUCUAAACCCGGAGUAUUAUCGACUAGCAUCCUGUCCUUAUGUGUUGGAAUUUACUUACGUGUGCACGAGUGGGCUCGACAUCUGUUGUCCGUGUCAUCCCAACUAAAAAUGAGGUCAAUAAUAUUCCUUCAUGUACCUUGUAGACACUACCAAAUCCACUUUACCAAUUUUGUUGUCAGUAGAAAAUUAGUUGGUAAUAAGCGCAAUAGUGUUCAAGUCAAAUUGCAAGGAUUACUUCGUCUACAUAUUAAAAUAGCAAAUCAUUUAAUAAAAUUCCUUAACCUAGAUAGUUGUGCCAGAAACUACAAUUUUUUUUUUAUCAAUUUCUUACUAUUUUUUAUUGAAGUUACAAUACUAAAAUGAAUGCACUAGACAAGAACUGUUGAAUAAGUAGAAACUGACGCGAUGAAAAUAUGGGAUCAUAGACUUUCCUGAUAUCAAAUUGUUUGAAUAGUUAAAAAUCAAAUUUAAAUAAAUACGCAUGUCGCAUAUCUAAAUUCACUUAAAUUUUUAGAUUAUGCGAUUCAAUAUAUUAAGAGCAAACAUAAAAUCCUAAAUUACUUCGCGGAUCACCAUUCAUUUUAUAAAAAUUGUAGACGUAUGUGAAUAUGAAAGGGCUUAAUCUUCUAGAUGAUUCGAUUCAAUAUAAUAUCGACUAUUGUGUACACAAAUUUAAAUAAGACUAAAUGGGAAUAUUUUGUUGAACCUGGAGUACGAAAUAUUCCAUUUUAUUACAAAAGAAACUCAAGAUAAUUUUAUAAUUUGAUAUGUAAUGCAGGAGUUUUGGAAUCAAGUGAGACUGAGAUGUCAGAUAGCACGUUGAUGGUUUUGAGAUACCAUGAGAUGGUAAAUUGACGCAAAGAUGGAAAGUGAUUGCAAUACUUUCCUUAGUUGGGACAAUUUUGACACAUUUUUGGUAAUUUGGCCGUAAAUUUGACUAUGUUUAUCAGAAUCACAAUUACGAUCCCAAUCCAAAAAGUUAUUUUCGAUGCGCAUGUCGUGGUCGCCAGUCCCAAGGAAGCUGAAAAGUUACAACUAUAGAUGAUAGAAUUGUUGAAAGGGGCUACACUCAUUAGAGUAUGAGUUAAUGUGCAAUUCAUGCACUACUAGUGCCAAAGAAAUAUGGGUAUUGGCCAAUGUGUGUUGACAGCAGAGCAAUCAACAAGAUUACAGUGAAGUACAUGUUCCCAAUUCCCAUCUUAGAUGAUAUGUUGGAUCAGUUGUCCAGUUCUAAGGUCCUCUCAAAAAUUUACUUUAAAAGUAGAGACCACCAAAUCAGAAUAAGACCUGGAGAUGAAUGGAAGACGACGUUUAAGAUACAACAUGGAUUGUAUGAAUGGAUGGUCAUGCCCUUUGGACUAUCCAAUGCGCCCGACAUCUUUAUGAUAUGCAUCAGGUCUUGUAACUUUUCAUGGAGAAGUUCGUGAUAGUCUACUUUGAUGACAUCCUCAUUUAUAGUCUGACAUGGGCGUUAUAUUUUGAUCAACUUCGUGCAUAUUUUUUAUAUACUGAGGACGAAGCGCCUACUCAUCAUUCAGAAUAAGUGUUCUUUCUUUACAACUUCUGUAACUUUUUUGGCUUUUGUUGAGACUACUGAUGGUGUUCAUGUAGAUCAAUAAAAAAUAGACGUGGUAUUGAAUUGGCCUAAGCCAAAGACUUUGCACGAUUUCAGUAGUUUCCAUGGAUUAGCAUCUUUCUAUCGCUGGUUCAUUAAAAAUUUCAGCACUCAAAUUGCUCCUAUCACAGAAUGUCGUAAGGGACGUAAUUUUCAGUGGAUUGAGGAGGCAGAGACCAGCGUUAAAUUGGUCGAGUAGAAUAUCACAGAGGCCCCAGUUUUGGCACUUCCUGAUUAUGAAAAAAGUGUUUGAAGUAAAUUGUGAUGCAUCUAGAGUUGGCAUUGUUCUAAGUCAGGAGGAGUGUCCAGUGGCCUUUUUUAGUGAAAAGUUAUUAGGAUCGAAGAAGACCUAUUCCACUUAUAAUCUAGAGUUUUAUGCUAUAGUCCAGACCUUGAAGCAUUAGUGUCAUUACUUGGUACAGAGGGAGUUCAUUCUUGUUAUUCAUCAUGAGGCCCUGAAGUAGAUCAAUAGUCAACUCAAGCUAAGUAGACGGCAUGCAAAGUGAGUGGCGUAUUUGCAGGAGUUUACAUUUGCACUAAGACAUCAAGCAGGGAGUCUGAAUCGAGUCGCAGAUGCAUUGAGUUUACAUUAGUCAACAUAAGCUGAGUAGACAGCAUGCAAAGUGGGUGUGUAUUUGUAGGAGUUUAUAUCAAUAGUCAACACAAGCUGAGUAGACAGAAUGCAAAGUGGGUGGCGUAUUUGCAGGAAUUUAGAUUUGCACUAAGACAUCAAGUAGGGAAUCGAAUCGCAGAUGCAUUGAGCCAUCACAUACUAGUCCUCACUACCAUGAGCACCAGAGUUGUAGGAUUUGAGGUAUUUUUUGAUAUGUAUAUUACAGAUCCUUCCUUCGGAAAGAUAAUUCAGGAGGUAACUGAUAAUCAACGACAUGAUUUUGUUUUGCAUAAUGGUUAUCUGUUUCGUGGAUUACAAUUUUGCAUCCAGGUUGUUCACUAAGGUAGCAGAUAUUAAUGAACUUAAUAGUGAUAGACAUUUUGGGCAAGAUAAGACGUUGGCUUUGGUUUCUUCUGAUUAUUAUUAGCCCAAAUUGAGCAGUGACAUGGUACAUUAUGUAAAGCGGUGUAAUGUGUGUCAACAGUCUAAAGGAGCUCUAACUAAUGCUUGAUUUGUACAUGUCAUUACCUAUACUUGAAGCCCCAUGGUCUAAUGUCAGCAUGGAUUUUGUAUUAGGCUUACCCUGUACACAAUGGGCAAUGGACUCUAUUCUUGUUAUGGUUAAUAGGUUUUCAAAGAUGGUUCAUUUUGUAGCUUGUCGGAAGAUAAUGGAUACUACUUAGAUUGCUUAUCUUUAUUUCAAUGAGAUUGUGCGUUUAUACGGUGUUUCCCAAUCAAUUACUUCUGAUCGUGACACCAAGUACUAUGAGUCAUUUUUGGAGAAGUUUAUAGGAGAAACUAGGAGCAAAGUUGAGUUUUAGUAAUUCCUACCAUCCCCAGACAGAUGGCCAAUCAAAGUUUGGGAAACCUUUUGAGAAACUUGGUAGGGACAAAACUGAAGCAGCGGGAUUUGGCAUUGCCUCAAGCAAAAUUUGCUUAUAACCGGUAAAAAAAUAGAACCACAACGUUGAGUCCAUUUGAGGUUGUCUAUGGUCGGAAUCCAUCCGGAUUACUUGACUUAGCCUCUAUUCCACGUGUAGGUCAUGUCAAUCACAAGGCCGAUGAGAUGGCAAGACAUCUUCGGGGUAUCUAUGAGCAGGUGAAGUUAUUCAUUCAGGAGAGUAAUGCUAAGUAUAAGGCUCAGGCAGAUAACCAUCGUCGUCAGGUGCUUUUUAAUUUUGGUGAUUUUGUUUGGGCAGUAUUAACUCGUGAUCAUUUUCUAGUUGGGGAGUGCAAUAAGCUUAAGGAGCGGAAGAUUGUACCUUGUGAGGUGCAGCAAAAGAUUAAUGAUAAUGCUUAUAAGUCGAGCCUUUCUAGCCAUUUGAAGACUACCGAUGUCUUCAAUGCGAAACAUCUAAGUCUUAGUUUUGUAGAGUCUGAUGAAGUUAAUGUGAAGUCGAAGGCGAGUUCUUUCCAACCUGGGAUGACUGAUGCAAGAGGUUCUAAAUCAAGUGAGGUCGAGAUGGCGUAGAGACACCAUGAGAUGGCGGAUCGACGCAAAGAUGGAAAGUGAUUACAGUACUUUCCUUAAUUUGGACAAAUUUGACACGUUUUUUAUAAUUUGGUUAUAACUUUGGCUACAGUAAUCGAAAUCACAAUUAUGACCCAAAUUCAGAAAGCUCUUUCGAUGCGCACGUCGUGGUCACCCAACUAUACUCAGUGAAUAUCAAUUUAAAGGUCAAAAUCCCCCUUCGAAUUUCGAUUUUUAGUUAUUUUUUUUCCAUUUACGGUAAUAUUUCGUUUGCCUUUUUCUAGUUGAUUACGAAUUUGAUUUGAGCCAAAUUUUUGGCAAGUUACUUCUUUUAUUCCGUAUUUUUAUUUUGGUGUGAAUUUCAGGAUUUUGCUAAUUUUGGUAAAAUUAUCAUAAUUUUGUAUUUUCUCAGCUAUUUAAGCCGGCUUGUGGAUUAAUUUUCAUAAUUCUGAAGUUUUAAUAAUAUUGAGUGAAUUUAAAAGAAGCUUAUCUGUGUUUUGGGUGUUAUAUUUUUGUUUACUUUUUCUGUGAAAUGUCUAGUGCAACAAGCCCGCAGGAUAUUCGCUAUCGUGCCCAGCGUCAAUAUAAAACUAGCCAAACAGACUAGAAGAGCAACCUCACUUUUCUCUCUAUUUCACUCCACUAGCUUUUUCUCACAUAAGUCCUGAGCACUUAGAUUGCGUAAAAAGGUUUAUCUAUUCAUAAUAUUUUUAAAUAAGUAAAAAAAAUAUAAAAUUAAGAUUAAAUAUAUGUCACUUGUUUUAAAGCAUAUAGCUUAAGGUAUUUUUGGACGAAAAUCGUGAUUAAGAAGAAGUUUUACUAGUAAAUGAAAGGUUAAGAUAAGAAUAUUGUGAGAAAAGUAAGUAUCUAAAUAUGACUAUGAAUAAAGGUAAGGAUACUUAAUGUAGUUAAAAUGUGUGUGACAAACACAAAAGGUUGGAGACUCAAGUUGACAAAAAUAUAUGGUAUGUACUCGCUUACAAAAGAAAAUUAAUUUUAACAAUCAAUUUUUUCUUGAAAUCUUUCCGAACUAUCCUUUUUUGAAAAAAACCCUAAAAUGACUUUUCAGGACAAAGAUUCUCUUUACUAAAAGUGAAAUUACUUGUAGUAACACGCCCGCUUAUGUGUAUGUGAGAUUAUCUUUUUCCUCUCAAAGCGUUACAUAUUUAGAAUUUUAAUAAAUGAGUGACAGAGAGACUUGAAUUUGAGACAUAACAUGUUUUGAUACCACGUUGAACUACUUGAUCUAAAUAUUUAGAAUAAUGCUAUGUAGCCCCACUGGGUUAUAAUCCCAGUUUAGACGGCGGUAGAUGAUAGAUUGAAUGAAAUGUGAAAUUAAAUGACUUAUUUAAUUCUAUCUAUCAUUUAAUGUCCUAUUAACGCCAUCUAGAUUGAGGUUGUAUCCCCAAUGGGGCUAAAUAACAUUACUAAAUUUUUUUUAGCUAUUAUGAACGGUUCAAUGUAUAUCAUUUAAAUAGUAUCUUUGGCAUUAUAAGAGAUUGGGGACCCAUCUUUAAUUUUUCUCUUAUUUUACACUUACAUAUUGGACUAUCUUCUUAUGCGAGUAUUCAAGUCUUGCAUGUAAACAAAUAUUUUAAAAUAAACCAAAAUGAUUCCAAAAAACCAAUAUUUUCAAUUCGAAUAUAAGAGAGCGCAAAUCAUUAAAUAGUAAUAUAUUUAUGAUGCAUUUGAUAAGAGAUUGGGGACCCAUCUUUAAUUUUUCUCUUAUUUUACACUUACAUAUUGGACUAGCUUCUUAUGCGAGUAUUCAAGUCUUGCAUGUAAACAAAUAUUUUAAAAUAAACCAAAAUGAUUCCAAAAAACCAAUAUUUUCAAUUCGAAUAUAAGAGAGCGCAAAUCAUUAAAUAGUAAUAUAUUUAUGAUGCAUUUGAUUGCAAGCAUAAAUUUACAUGGAAAGAAAAUAAAUUCUAAGUAAUUCAAUUGCCUAGAAUUUAUUUGCAUGAAAAUUAUCAAUAUAUGUGUUUGAUUGAUUUAAUUUUCAACUUAAAAAAUAUUAUACUUGCCCCUUAUUAUUGGUAGAUUAAUAAGAGGGAGUGGAUAUAUAAGAGAGAGAGAGAGAGAGAGAGAGAGCGUAAAUUCCCUAAAAAAUAAAAUCAUACUACACUUAAAGAAAAUAUUUUCCUUGAUUUUGAGAAAAAUAUGGUCACGUAACCAAAAGUAGGAAAAUAUUUUUCAUGAAAAAAAUGGCAAUCAAACAACACAAAAAAGAAAUUUGGAUAGAAAGAACACAUUUUUCAUGGAAAUUAUUGGUAAUCAAACGCACACUUAGAGUACUUGUAUAAGAAAAUAGUUAUCUUCAAAUACUAUUUUGGCAUUUUGUCAAGUAAUCUGAAAUAAUAUCAUCGUCCUUUUAUUACGGUGUGUUGAAAUGUUGUAGGUAAAUAUAAUUUUUAGUGUAAAUUUCUCAAAUCAUCUGUCAUUCGUCAACAGCUCUUCAAUUAUUAUUAUUAUUAUUAUUAUUAUUAUUAUUAUUAAUGUAAGAUCUUCCACGGCGAAAACAAGGCAAUAGAGAAAUCAAAAUCUUUCUUUAAUUUGCGAAAAUCUAUGGUGGUAGUAAUUUCUAUUGCUAAUCAACAUUUCAUCCUCGUUGAAAUAGAUAUUGUAUAACUAACACGCCUUUACAAAUUAAAAAGGAAAAUAUAGUGACAAACCAUAACGAUAUAAAGUAUAAACAAGAACAUGAGAUCUCCUCUACCAGAAGUUAUAUUACAACAUAAUUGUUAUAUGUUAUUUGUUCUUUCAUAGAUAAUAUUUGCCAAUCGCUAUUCAUUUUACAACACUACAGACAAAAAAUAAAUAUACUAUAUUAACUUAUUUAUCUAUCUGGGGUAUAGUUCGGAAAUUGAUACUUCAUUUGUAGAAAGGGCUGUUGAUGUUGAUGUGGAUUUGUCGGAUUCCAGUCCCAUGCGGAUGCUUUGUGUAGUGCUACCAAGAAAAAAUGCAGGUUGACGAGGAACGACAAGUGUGGCUGAAUGGCUAUUGAGUGUCAAAAUUACAGAUGUCAUGUUUGGUCUUUCAUCAACAUCUUCUUGAACACAAAGUAACCCAAUUUGCAAGCAUCGAAUCACUUCAUUUUUGUCAAAUUUGUCUUUCAUUGUUGGAUCCAUUAAAUCCAAUGCUCUACGAUCUCUCCACAGUUUCCAAGCCUGCAUAAAAAUAUUUCCAAGCCCUAAUCUCAAUUACAAGAGCAAUAACUAAAAAAAAAUGUUUCUUGUAGGGAUACGCAGCCAUUCUUGGAAGUUAUGGAUAGUAGGAGGGUGUAUUCUGUUGGACCCAGAAGGAUUGUAGUGAAUGAGAUUAAUGAUGCGAUAUGAAAUAAUGAAAAUCGCAACGAGAAAGAAGAUUUAAAAAUAAAGAAAUUAACAAAGAGAGUUAAUCGCAGAUACAUGACAUUUUAUUAAUCGACAAUAUGGAAAGAAAUACAAGAAUUUAACCAUUCUUGCUUAAACAAAACUGAAAGAGAAGACCACUAUUUAUAGGUACAUUGCAUAGCAUAAAGAUGGAAAUAUGUGGAAUAAGAAAAUAAUAUGUUUCCAUAGAAAUCACGUGAAAUAUAAUGAAACAAUUUUCCCACAUGAAAAUCAAUUUAUUUUCAAAAAAAUCCACUUUAAUUUAGAUCACAAACCCAACAUAUUCAACCUUUAAUCACACACGACCAAUUUCGGGAAUCAGUUCCAAAGAUUAUUGAUUUGGCCUUUAAUCUGAAGAUCCCUUGUGGUAUGGGACCACCCUUGAUUUCGAUGGUGCUCCACAUCAAAAUCAUGUAAAAUGGCAUACAAAAUUAUAGUGUUUGCUGUUAAUGAGAGAACUACAAUCACAGUUUUUUCGCCUCUUAUCUCAAAAAGACCUCUCUUUGAAAUACUUUGUAUAUGGUGGGAACAUUAUGGUGUUAUAAUACAUAUAUUAGACUUCUAAGACAAUUUGCAAAUGGGAAAUAGUUGAACAUAAUGAUUAGGUUGCACAUCGUACAAGACAUGCAUCCAUAAUGAUGAGUUAUUUUAACAAAAAUGACAAAGAAUAAUAUGGAGUUUGCACUUACAUAGCUAAUGAGAACCUCAUCAUCAUCUGAUUGGUUGAAGCUGCUAUUUUUCCUGCCACUUAUGAUUUCUAAAACAAUAACGCCAAAGCUAAAAACAUCGGAUUUUACUGAGAACUGGCCAUGCAUUGCAUAUUCGGGAGACAUAUAACCACUGUAAGCCGGAAGCACAAAUAUUAAUUAAGGUAAUCUUAAGAAAAUAAAAGUGUUCACUUCUUAAAAAAUCUAAUUAAUGAUAUGGUACUUACUAUGUCCCAACAAUCCUAUUUGUAUUUUCUUGAGAUUGAUCAACGCCAAAUAACCUCGCCAUGCCAAAAUCGGAUAUUUUUGGGUUCAUAUCUCCAUCUAAUAGUAUAUUGCUAGCUUUAAGAUCACGGUGUAUAAUUCGAAGACGAGAAUCUUCAUGAAGGUAAACCAUUCCUCGCGCUAUUCCUCGUAUGAUCUUAUAAAGCUUCGACCAAUCCAAAAUUUGCCCUUUUUCGGGAUCUAGGAUUAUGCAUAAGAUUAAUUACCAUUGAUGGAAAAAUUCAUUUUUAAAGGCCAUAGCUUAAAAGACAUGAAUGGAGAUAAUUAAUAGUAUUUCUAUAUAUUUUCUUGGAUGCCAAUGCAAGGAAAUUCAAGAAAAUGAUGAGAAAAUAGUAAUCAAGAUUGAUGCUAACCAAAUAGAAAGUAAUCAAGGCUCUUAUUGGGCACAAAUUCAUACACGAGUAUCUUCUCUUCUCCUUCUAAGCAAAAUCCUAGUAGUCUUACUAGAUUUCUGUGUUGAAGCUUGGCAACAAGUACAACCUCAUUCGUAAAUUCCUUUGAGCCUUGUCGUGAACUUUGGGAAAGUCUCUUCACAGCUAUUUCUUGUCCAUUCGGGAAAGUACCCUACAAGAAUGUUCAUAGCCAAUAAACUUAACAAAAAUUUACUCUAUGGUCUGACUUACAAAACAAAGCAUGUAUGUGAAAUAGAUUGCAAAAACACUAAAUAAAAGGGGCUAAAACCUAGAAUUAUAUAAUAGCGAAAACUUAGAACUAAAUUAUCCUUUAAACUUACCUUGUAGACGGCACCAAAUCCACCUUCACCAAUUUUGUUAUCGAGAGAAAAGUUGUUGGUAGCAAGCUGAAUAGUAUUUAAAUCAUAUUUCAAGGAUUCAACCAUCGAAAUCUCAUUUUCUUCUUCUACAAAAAAAUAAGCAAAUCAUUAGAAAUAAAUUCUUUAAAUAGAUAAAAAUAAUUAAAUAUGCAUUCAAUGUCUACUCUUAAUCCUUUAGAUGACUGUGCUCAGUACAAAAUCUAAAUAAUGCGUACACUGAUAUAAUUUGAUCGAAAGGGUAUCUAAUUUAUUUUUUCUACUUUUUCAUUUCGAUCCACAUAGCUUACCACGUUCCUCAUUUACAGCAUCAUAAUCUUUUUUCCUCUUAAUGAAGAAGCAAAUGCCUAUGAAGAAAAGCACCAAGGACAGAACAACUGGAGCAACUAUGGCAACAAUAACUUUUGUUGAGAUUCCCUCAUUUCCUGCAUUGAUAACGCAUAAAGAAAAAAAGAAAAAAAUGAAGGGAAACUUGUCACUAAAAUAUUCGAGAACUUUGAUUAAGAAUUCCAUUUCAUCACAAGCGUUGCAGUGGUAAACUAAGAAUUAGCCUACGUUUGGCUCAUGUUUAUAAAUACUUAACCACUUUUUAUUCACAAAUUUCUAGGAUCCACAUAUACUAUCUACUUAUUCACAACUCAUUUUUAUCUAUUUAUAAUUUAAAUAACUUAUAAACACUUCCCAAACAUGAUUAAUUUAAUUCUGGCCUUCUAUGGGAUAAAACUUAAUUUCAAACUUCAACCUUUAUACUACAAAAGUUAAAAAGUUAUUUGAGUAAAUUAAAAUUAAAUAGCAUUUUUCUGAUUUUUUAAAUAAUAUUUUCACGUCUAUCCCAUUUUCUGCUGCUGCUUAAGAAUGAGGAAGUUACCUUCAUUAAUUGGAGAAUUUGAUCGGGGUGGUUGCUCAAGAGGACGUGUAUUUGGAGCAGGGGCCGCAUUGGAAUUAUAAAAUGGGUAUAUCUCAUACCUAAUAUUGCAGCUGGGGGAAAGAACUGUUGCCCCUUGGCUAUUAGCACAACAUGAAGGUAAACUUGAGAUAGAACCUCGAAGACAGGUAUUGCAAUCACUGAUGGAAAGAUCUGGGGUGCACUGCGCCAGGGUGUAUAGUCUCUGAAUGCCAUGAAAUUAACUUCUUUAGUCGCAAAUUUCUUACCAGUCACAUUAUUUGAUGCUUCUGUAGCUAUUUCGUUCAUGGUGUCCGCCAACAUCUGUUUGAACCUGUCCGGCUCAUUUGUAAUGUUAUUUACAUUAUAAAAUGUCAUCCCGGCAGAUUGUUGCACCCUGGAUACUAUGGAUUGAUUUGAGUAACGUAACAUGCACUCAUCAUACCAGAUAGUUGCCCCUUUCGGCCUGUUGUAACAACGUUGUAAGAUUUCAGUCGUAGCAUAAUUCACACAUUCUUUACAUAUGUCCGCGUUCACAUCACCUCUGCAUAGGAAGAGGCCGUAGACUGUGUCUGAAGAUCCACGACCCACCGCGGCGCUGUAAAAUCCAUUAUUUUGGGUGGCAUUUGUGGAUGAUAAAUUGAGAAAAAGUUGAUUCAAGUUGGCCUCGUAGGUGCUGUCAGGACUGUAUAUAGCUGAAUUUUCACAGUUGUUAUAAAGAUAAUUCAGGGAGGUAACCCUCCUUGUGCUAAAGAAAAAGAACAGGCAAAGCAAUAAAACAUAAUAAGAACUCUUAAAGGCUGACAUUAUCUUGCUUGAAAAAUGUUACAAUUGUGUAUAUUUCAUAAGAAACAGGUGCAUAUAAAAUGGUAAAGGAGGGGGGAUAAGUUGAUCCAAGACUUCCUGUUCUAGUCAAUGCAUUCAAUCCAAGUUCUUUUGGUUGUCGUUGUCGUUGUGGAAAUUAAGAAAGAAGAUAGCAACGACUUGACUUGCGUAUUGAUGGAGAAACGACUAAAUAUGUUGAAUAUUCUUUCAGCUCUUGCAAAAUUUUACAAUGAAAGCGUGUUUGAUGUAAAUUUUUUUGGGAACGGAUUUUGUGAAAAAUAGAUUUUUAGGAAGAUGUACAGUAAAAAGAUAGAGAAAAAUUAUCAAUCCAUGUGUAAAUUUAUUUUAUUGAAAAAAAUGUGUAAUUAAAAAAUAAAUUUUUAAAGAAAUGAGAUUUAAAGAAUCACUACCAAACAAGAGCCGGAUAUAUUUCAUCAAAAAACAAGUGCAUAUAAAAUGUGAAAGGAGUAGUGACUUGUUCAUCCAAGACUUCCUGUUCUAGUCAAUGGAAUCCAAUUUCUUUUAGUCCUUGUGGAAAUUAAUAACGCCCAUAGCAACGAGUUGCGUAUUGAUGGAGAAAGGACUGAAUAUUGUUGAUAUUUCAUGGUCUAGACUUCACAAGUUCUUGACAUUUUGUUUGUUGAUAAAAUAUAUCGAUUUUAUCGUACAGUAGUUUAUAUAAAAAAUUAGUCAAAAUUUCCACUUAGAGAAUGAACAGAAUAAAUAGAAUAAUAAUAGUCGAUAUAAGAGUUUGACUCUUUCUCUUUAAGGCGAUAAUACUUCACACUCGUGCUGACGGUCUUUUGACACUCAUCUCUCAGGAUAUAAUGACCUCGACUUGUAAUAGUAACACUCCAAAUUACAAGACACAGAGAACCUACUAGUGUUUUGAUCUCGACUAAAAUGCACGAAACUAAUAUUGGUGACUGAAAUGCACAAUAUGAAAUAAUGCAGGACUGAAGGAUUAUAUUUUACAAGAAAGAAAAUCACGAAAGAUUUUUGGAAUGAAUAAGACAUAUUUAUAAAAGUUAAAAUAUUGCGUCCAGAAGACACAACAGCCAAAGAGUUGUGUCUUGAAUAGACACAAACCAUUUGGACGGGCAAUUUUAACAUUCAACCAUCAAUUUUUAGAAGAUGCCAUGUGUCGUGCACAGAAAAAUCCAAGGAAAUAAAUAAUAUAAUUCAAAUAUAUUAUUUUAACUUAAUAAUAAAAUAAUAUAAAUCAAAUACUAUUUUACGACCUACUAACAUGUACGUUUUCUUCCCUUCAAAGACUAUUGAUACUCCUUCGGGUUCAAAUCCAAGUCCCAAACUUGAGUAAUAUUAAGUGGAUUCUAUUUUUCUUAUGUGAAAUUGGCAUUUUUCAAUUUCUCAUCAAUUUUUAUUCCCAAUUUAUUUCAACUUCAAGUGGUCAUAUUUUAGUCUUAAUUUCUCAUUCACUCUUAAUAGGUUUUGAGAAAAUAAAUACAUAAAUUAAUCUACUCAUGGAGUAGAAUAUACUUCGCCAAAGAAAUCUUUUAUCCAACUAACCUGACCUACUUAAAUAAUUGGUUAAAGUUGGUCUAACCAACUAAUUAAACCAAUUUUCCAACAGUGUCAAGCAAACUUGCAAACCUCCUCCAUAAAUGUAAAACGCAAAAGUUUCUCCAUCCCAACUUUUUCAUUUUGAAUCUCCAUAUUUCAAUUGUUAGAAAGUGUCAAAAGUAUCGAGUACCCAGUUUCAAAUUAGCUUCACAGGCAACCUGUUACAAGCCGUGUGUUGUAGCCAAUUUAUCUAGUCGACCUAUGUCGAUUACAUUGCUCGACGGUAUAGGCUCGCUUACCUUAUUCAACAUCCAGCUUAGAAGUAUCAUGACAUACUGGACUGCAUAAUAUUGAGGCAGAUUGAUUCGUAAAAACCAUGACCUAAAGCUGUUACAGGCCAGCAUGCAAUAUAGUCCCUAAUCCAACUCACCGUUUCUCAUCUCGAAGAAAAAACUCAUCGUUCUCUAAUUGAAUUGGAGAACUACUCGAAGUCGGUUAUGUUUAUACACGGAUGGGAUCAUAAAACCCCUAGCAUGCACGGCAUGUCUAAUCCAAUUCAUUACUUCCUUUAAACUAUCUUGAAUGUUGCAAGAAAAAAUAUCGGUGUAAAGUCCAAACACCGCAGCGCGAAAAAAAUAUUGUAAGUUUCUUAACUUUAAAUAUUUGUUUUACUUGAUAAUAUAAAUUAACAUAAAGUUUUUAUAUUUUACUGAAUAAUCAAAUUUCAUGGAUAAAAUGUGAUGAAACAACUUUUCAAAAUUUUAAAUCAAACGUGUUUUCUAAUUUUCUGUUUUGAGAAACAGCUUUUCACAAUGACAAAAUAAACUCUUUUUUAACAAUUUAGAAACAUACCUUGAACAUAGAGGAUUGAAAAUAAAUUGAUACUGAAACAUAAAACAAACGGACCUUAGCUUUUCGUGACAUUCACCCAUAACGUGUACAUACGGCAUGCCAUAAAAAUAGACCAUCUACGACAUCCCUUAAAUGUGUGCCGUAAUAAUACAAUUAUUUAAAGUAUUUACUACAUACAUUUGCAUAGUCAACGUUUGUAAGUAAACUAUGUUACAUGCUAUAAUAAGCAAACUAUGUUGUAGAAGGGGAAUAUUAUUCCAUGUUCAUAGAAAGAUUUAAAUAAGGGAAAUGAAAAAAAAUUAAUUAAACCAAACAAUGAAGAAUUUUGAUUUGGCUUCUCUGAUUCUGAUUCCAUCAAAUUGUCCACAACUUUUGCCCCGAGCUUGAACUUUCGCUUCUCGUCCAACUCGAGUUAUCGGUAAAGAAUAUAUGACCUACAAGAUCUAUGCCAUCUUCAGGAGUCAGAAGUACACACCCAGAAAUAAGGUGUUUCCAGCCUUCCCUAUCUGAUCACCAUAUCAUUCCUAAAAUUUUCAAGUUUCCAAAUUGUGUCCUUCGUCCCCUACCAAAAUUUCCUUCAAGAAUCACUAAUUCACUUUGGUGGAACAUUCAGGACCACUGGAAACAUCUUGGCUAGCAAGAGAAUCAACU